rnacentral:lncRNA from 1 species
GCAAAUUGGCCUUGUAGAAACCUAAUUGGGGACCUAACGAACGCGUUGAAACGCUCGGUUCGGCAAUCCGACGAGCGUACGUGAAGUUAUUGACGAAACUGUCGGUUUUGGUACAGAUAGCCGCAGCACGCGGGAUAAAGGUCUAAAAAUCAUGAGAUCGGAACCGGAGCACCUUGGAGUCAAGGAAUAAACUCCGGAAAAGACGGAUCGCGGUUCGGAGGUCGUUUGGAAGUCGCGCAAGAGUUCGGGCCAAACCGGGCAAUGGUUGUCGUGGGAGGCCGAUUGCAAGUGACUACAAGCAAUCGGAGCGCGAGUUAAGGUGGGUUGGUUUACCGAAGCGACUAGGUCGCCUUUAUGUCUAAGAAACUAAGAAUCCAUAUUGAUGCAUAUAAAUGUAAAUGAAGCAUGUAAAUGAUGCAUGCAGCUAAAUAAUGCAUGUUGAUAGUAUGAUGUAAAUGCUAAAUAGAAUGCAUUAUGAACAAGUUACAUAAUGCUAAAUAAUGUAAUGUAAAAAUGCUAGAAUGCAUAAUGAGCAAGUUAUAUGAUGCAUGUUGAUAGUAUGAUGUAAAUGCUAAAUAGAAUGCAUUAUAAGUAAGUUACAUAAUGCUAAAUAAUGUAAUAUAGAAAUGCUAGAAUGCAUAAUGAGCAAGUUAUAUGAUGCAUGUUUAAAGUAUGAUGUAAAUGCUAAGUAGAUGCAUAUAAAUGAUAUAUGAGAUUAUAAACGCAUGAUUAGCAUUAUGAGAUUAUAGAUGCAUGCUUAGCAUUGUGAGAUUAUAUAUGCAUAUGAACUUGGUUGAUAACUCUAGCUUGAUUAGAGAGAUAACAUUGGAAAAUGAGAAUUGAUAAAUCUAGAAUGAGUAGAAUGCUUAAUUGGACAAUUAGUAUGUGAAUUAGAUCGAGUGGCAUCUAACUUAGUGUUAAGGAACAUAGGUCGUGAGUAGACCUAGAAUCAAAUAGAUCGAGUGGCAACUAACCUAGUGUUAAUAAACAUAGGUCGUGAAAUGAAAAGUACUUAACCUAGAGUCAAGUGAACCUAGGUUGGAAAGAAUAAUGAUCCUAGUGUAAUAAACCUAGGUUAAGAAUGUGAAAGCAAUAAACCUAAUGGGUGAACUUAGGUUGAGUAAAGGCUUAGACCUAGAGAUGUCAGUUCCAUAGGGUUAAGAACAACCCCUAUGUGAUAUGAAAUGGAUUCCGGAAUCCCAAAGCUAAAAGGAUACACCCAAAGUGGUGUCGGGUGUGUGCGACGAUUUCGCCGCCCAAGGGCUAAAGAACCUUUGUCGUGGCGUGUGCGACGAUUUCGCCGCCGGAUGGUUAGCCAGUUUGUGGAUCCUACCGCCUGUUGACUGAACCACUGUCGUGGCGUGUGUGCGACGAUUUUGCCGCCGGGUGGCUAAGUCGUUGAACCUAGGCCGUUGUUGGGUGAGGUGCAAUUCGUUCGCCGCCAGACGGCUAGGACAGGAGUACGGUGAGCUGUUGCCAGCUGAGGUGCAUGUGAGAGUUCCUUCACCUCGAGCUAGACAGUGCGCGUACUAUCCGCGAUUGAUUGACUCAAGACCGAGUCGGGUGGCUUUGUUGACUAAGGUAAAGUGACCUUAGAGUAGAAUGCCAAAGGCUAAGAGAUAGCAUGGUUCAAGAAUGUUAAGAGUAAAGAACAGCUAAACGAUAAUGAAUAGCUAAAGAGUAAAGAAUGGCUAAAGAACAAUGAAUAGAUAAUGAAAGGAAUAGCUAAGAGCUAAAAGUAAGCAUUAAAUGGCAAGGAGUAAAGAAUGAUUAAGAACAUUAGUGUUAAAGUAACCUACUUGCAUGAUUACAGGUAUUGCAUAUUGCAUUUCGUGAGGCAUGACAUGUAUUUCACUUGAAUAUAUAUCUGUUGUAUAUUGUUGAUCUAACAUGUUGCAGUGCUUCGUUAGACCUGUUGGCUGAGCUUGUUCUCUUGGGUGGCUAAACCCACUGAGGACUAUGGACAAUAGUCUCACCCUCGUGUUGCUGUUUUGGGGGUACAGGUACACACGUGUGCGGCGUGGCGGCGCAAGGCGAGGACGUAGUUCUGCAGAUAGCGUCCUACCCAGAGACUGAGAUAGCAGUACCCGAGUUGGUGGUCUAGCUUGGGAGGUUUAAAAACAAGAACAAACUUUUGUUUAAGUUGUAAAAGAAUCUGUAAUGAUUAUGAUUAUAUUUGGAGGUUAAUUGUAAAAGAAAAAGUAUGUUGUAAAAUGCAUCUAAGUUGAAUGCUGUAAUAACUUAGUAGUUAUAUUUUUGAUACUUCCUUAUGCAAUCUGUGAAUGAAUACUGUUCCUGUUUGGAAUCUCUCGUAUUGUUUUGAUUGCGACGCCUUGGACGUACAGGGGAGACUCUGUUCGUUCGGCGGUCUGUCGGCGGCGCCGCGACCCGGCCAAAUAGGCAGGUGGUCGCGGGGCGUGACACUGCUACUUUAUCUAACAUCUUUAGCUGUCCUUUGAAACAUUUCCCCUUGCAAUAUCUUGGAUUACCUCUCUCCCCAAAGUCUCUUCGUCGAGUAGAUUAUCUGACUAUCAUUGAGAAAAUAGAUAAACUUUUGUCCGGUUGGAAGUGUAGUCUCUCCAGAGAAGGGCAGUUAAUUCUGCUUAACUCGGUUCUCUCCACCUUGCCUGUCUAUUUUUGUUCCGCUUUUGCUCUUCCUGCUUGGGUGAUAUGAGCGAUUGACCGUGUUCGUUGAGGCUUCUUCUGGAAAGGAAAGACUUCUACCAGCAGAUUCAUUGCCUCGCUAAUUGGGAUCAUGUUUGUCGCCCCAAAAGAGUAAGGGGGAUAGAGAUUAACAAGCUUAAAGUUACGAACUCGGCCUUAUUGAUGAAGGGGCUGUGGAAGUUCCACACUUCCCAUACUCUACCCUGGGUGCAGCUUUUGAAGCAGAAACACUACAGACGGAGAUUGACAGCUAUUACUAGCUCCAUACCUUAUGGCUGUUGUCCUAUCUGGAAAAAUAUGCUAAGACUUUACGCCCUAUUCCUCACCUCGGUCAAUUUUAUUCUUGGCGAUGGUAAGGAAACACCCUUUUGGACUGCGAGAUGGUGUGGAGAUAUAGCACUAAGAAAUCGCUUUCCUAUUCUCUAUGCGACUUUUGUCAAUACUAAUAUUACGAUUAGUACCUGGUUUCAUCGCUUCUCAAAUCAGUCUAACCUGGGGUUCAAUUCUCCGAGCAGUCCACAAGAGCUAAUAGAACUUCAGGAGUUAACGGUGGUGUCCAACAACUUAGCCCUCUCAAACGACAGACACGACUCGCUAUCUUGGAGAUGGAACAGUUCUGGAAGGUUCUCGAUGCACAGCGCGACAGACUUUCUAACAUUUUAUGGCAUCAGCAUCAGCAACUGCAACCUCCCUUUCCUGUGGAAUCUCAAAUUUCGUUCAGAGUCAAACUAUUCCUAUGGCUUGCUGAGCGAAACAAAAUUCUGAUGACCGACAAUCUAGUCAAACGUGGAUGGCAAGGUCCGACAAUCUGCAUUCUCUGCAACACCGAUUUUCAGUCCCUCUAGCAUAUUAUGCAUCACUGCAACUAUGCAGUUUCACUGUGGAAUUGGUUAAUGGGCAGACUCACAAUCACCCUUGCAUGGAGAAACACUACGUAUGAAGGACUUGCAACACGAUGGCGUCGAUUGAGGCGAACAGUAUUAGGAGAAAACCGAACCAUCCUCGAUCUCGGAAUUGCAGCAGCUAGCCUAUUGGGAGAUCUGGAAGGAGCGAAAUAGAAGAAUAUUCGACAAUCGGCAAUCCCGAUAUGAUGCUCUGGGUAGAAGUAUUCUACAAACUGUAUCUUCUUGGAAAUUAGUGUUCGGUAUCUCUGUCACUUAGGUGUACUAGUUGUGUUUGUGCUAGUGUUUGAUACGGUAUACUUAGGAGUUCCUCUGUUGUGUGUGUGGGUGUGCUUGGGUUUGGUUACUCGUGAAAUGUUAUUUCGAUCUGACCUCGCUAUAAAAUAGGGUUCAUCCCUGUUUAAUAAAAAAAAAUAAAUAUUGGAUGAUCAUUAUGAGAUACCUACAAAAUCGGAAGUAUUCAGUGGAAUCAUGGAUUGCGCUAUCCUGCUAGAACGUGAGGAUAUAGGCGUGAGAUUAUGGAUUUGCUUUAGGGCUUGGUCCAAUAAUUUCUACUGGUGAUAACAAAUAUUAUAUAUAUAUAUAUAUAUAUAUAUAUAUAUAGAGAGAGAGAGAGAGAGAGAGAGAGAGAGAGAGAGAGAGAGAGAGAGAGCGCUAGACUCCCACGCUUUUGAAAGUACGAAAGUCUUUGUGCUUGUAAAUUAUUUUCGAUGAUGGACAUCCGAUUCGAUGAUCGACUCCGUUAGGCAUGAUUUACGCUAUUAAAAUUAUUUAUAAACUAUAUCUCGUAAUUUUUUUAUUUCGUUUGCCUAGUAAACGAGUAUCUUCAAAAUAAAUGGCUAAAAUUAAAAUUUUCAUAAUAAAAGACUCAAAUUUCAAAUCGAAAGUAUCGUAUUUAUUAAAGUUUCACGUAAUUUGGAUUCUUCUAUACUAUUUAACAUAUAAACGUGUCACAUCGGCUGUUAAAAUAAUCAUUUUUUAAACUCUUUGACCACUUAAUACAUGGCGCUGAAAAAUUAUAAAAUUUGGUCUAAAUAAUUUUAAUAGCGUAGCCGAUCGUCGAAAUAGAUGUCCUAUUAUUGAAAACAACUUAUAAGCAUAGUUAGUUAAUUCAGAUUCGGCAAAAAUUCGGAACGGGUAUAAUUCGGAUAAAAUUCGUUUUUUAACUUUUAAAUUCUUUGAAAAAUACGGCUAAAAAACGGAUGUGCUAAUUAUUCGGAUAUGUAAUUUAUACGGAUAUUAUACAUUUACCAAUUAAAAAUUCAGAAUCAAAAAUUCGGCUAUAUAAUAAAUAUAUAAUAAUUAAUAUACUAUAUAUAUUAUUUUUAUGCUUUUUUAUAUAAAUUAAAUAUAUUCAAAAUUAUAAUAAAUAAAUAUAUAUUAAUAAUAUAUAAGAAUUAUGUAUUUAGAAAUAUUAAUAAAUAAUUAUAAAUUUAUAAAUAAAAAACUUUAUAUAAUAAAUAAAUGAAUAUAUAGUUAUAAAUAACAUUAUAUAUAUAUAUAUAUAUAUAUAAAUAUAUAUAUAUAUAUAUAAUGAUUAAUGAGAGGGAGGUCCACCGUUGACCUCCCUCUCAUGCGGUGGCCUCGUGGACCGCGCACAAGUAUGCUCAAAAGCCCCGACUUGUUUUUACUGUUUCUCUUCCUUUUUUUUCCGCGGACGGCGCGAGAGGGCAUCUGUCGUCGCGGCGGCUUUUGCUCCCGGUGCCAGCAAGGGCGGCAGAGGAGGAGGAGGACAACCCGGACGAGUUCGGCGACGACGCAACCCUCGGCCGCGAAUCCGCGACGACGAACGCGGCGACGACGCGAGCGGCGAGCCUCGAGCCCUCGACCAUGAAUCCGCGACCGCGAGUGCCGUUUUUUUAGUUGAAUCAUUCGCGAAUCGCGAAUAAUUCGCGAACAAGUUUUUUUGAGAAAGAUUUGGCCUUUUUUUCCGAACUUUUCGGAAAAUACGGAACGGGCCGUUUUUUCGUGUAUCAUUCACGUUUUAAUCGCCAAUUAACUAACUAAGCUUACAAGCACGAAAGCCUCCAUGCUUUCAAAAGCGCAGGAGAUGUAAUAUAUAUAUAUAUAUAUAUAUAUAUAUAUAUAGAGAGAGAGAGAGAGAGAGAGAGAGAGAGAGAGAGAGAGAGUGGUUGGAAUCCUAUUGAUAGCAAAAAAUCAUUUUUGCUAUUAAAUUUUUAACCCCUGGAUGAGAAAUUGUAGAGUUGGGAUGAUAUUAAUCCCUUAGGGAUGGCUAAAAUUUGAUUUCUAAAUACUUCAAGUGAUAUAAAUUAUGUUUAACGGUGCCAAUCAUCGAUUUGGAGGUUCCAUCAUCGAAAACAAAUGGAUUGCAGUAGAGUCGACUACAAUAAAAAUGAUGUAUAGUGACACUUUUAAAUAUCGGUAUAAGUAAAAAAAAGUGCUGCUGGCUAAAUUACUGACACUUUUUAAAAGUUUUGCUAUAUGUGGGGUCGCUAUAUAUAGGGUUGCUUUAAUGUUUGGCUCCCACUUCUCCAGCGACCUGUGGUGGAGGGACACGUGGCGAUUGUAACCCUCUACAGUCCCUGCGAGAUUCUUACGGCCGAACUCCAGCCGCCGGAACCCUACCUCGUCGACUAUGGCGACAGAGGAGGAGAAAGGGAGAUGGUGAUCAAUUUUUCUUUUUUUUUUUCCUUUUCUUUUUUUUUUNNNNNNNNNNNNNNNNNNNNNNNNNUUUUUAAAAGUUUUGCGAUAUUGUGGGGUGCUAUAAUACUUGGUUGCCUCUAAAUGUUUGGCUCACCACUUCUCCAAGCGACCUGCCCUGGUGCAGGGACACGGCGAUUGUAACCCCCCUCCUACAGUCCUGCGAGAUUUGUACCGCGGCCGAUACUCCCAGCGCCCGGAACCCACCUCGCGCACCUAUGGGCGACAGAGGAGAGCAAAGGGAGAUGGCUGAUCAAUUUUUCUUUUUUUUUUCCGUUUCUUUGUCUACGGGGGCGGGUUUCUAUUUGUAAUCGGACCUGAGUGACUAGUGGGCUUUGAUUGAGUAGAGGCAACUUUUUUAUUUGUUUAUCUGCAUUGGGCCUUAUAUUAGUCCUUAAUAGAUUUUUAAAAAAAUUUUUGGCAUAGAAUGGACACUUACACAAAAUGUCCUAAAAAUAAUAUCCUUAUGCAACCUAAUUCGUGUUGUUAGUGUCCCAUAUAUAUAUAUAGUAUACUAUAUAUAUAUAUAUAAUAAUUAUCUAUAUAUAUACUAUAACAACAAAAAAAUAAAUAAUAUAUAUAUUUAUAUAUAUAUACAGUAACUAGGCUGAAAUAACUAUUCAAUAGCACCAAGCUAUUGGUGCUAUUACGGUUGUUCGGGCCUUAGAAUGAACAAUAAUAAACGGUUAGGAUGAUGCUGGGGCCCCUAUUGGUCUGAGUGAGUUUAUUGGUAAUAGUACAACUAAUGCAUGAAAAUAGUCAAAGGUUAAAUCUCAGCGAAUAAAUUGGUAGCACCAAAAUGUUUGGUCUAUCGAUAGUACCCAAAGCAGUACUCUCUCUACUCUAUCCUCUAUCUCUAUCUCUAUCUUUGCCUCUCUCUAUCGUCUCUCUCUCUUAUAUAUAUAAUAUAGAGAGAGAGAGAGAUGGCCAAGGGCCUACUAUACUUGUUACUGAAGUAUAGAGCGCUUUGUACUCAUAAGUUUUGUCGUGUGGAUGAAAGGAUGUGUGUGUAGGAUGACAGUGGUCCCCAAUAGGAAAUGUAGUUGAUCCCUAAGGGUUAGUGGUAGUUGGUUGAAUAAUAUGAUCAAACGGGUGGAAAUGGUUAAAGGGAUAGAUCUAACGGCUAAAAAUUUAUUAGUACAAAGUGUCUAUACUCAUAAGAGUUAUAGGCCUGAACUUCUUUUCUCUAUGUGUUGUGUGUGUGUGUUGGGGGGGUUAGGGGGGUGUAGGGCAAUUAGUAAAUGUAAAGUCCUUCGUGCUGAUGAAGUUGUUUUCGAUAAUAGGAUUCCCGAAUUGACGUAUCCACCUCCAUUAAAUAUGAUCUAGAGUAUUGUGAAAACUUUAAAAAAUAAAAUUUUCGUAAUUUUUCAAAAUUCAUAAUAAAGUCUAUCAAGGCUUGUGCAUAAAUGAACGGUCAAGAAUCCGGAACGACGUUCUAGCCAAAAUGGAUAAGUCUGAUCUUCAAGUUAAGAUCGGAUUAUUAAUCUUUCUAGGUAGCUAAUAGAAUUUCUAUAAAAAAUUCAACCUAUUCUAAGUUCUUUUACACUUAAGACUAGCAAGGUAUCCCCAUAUCGACCGUUAAGGAAUUAUCAAUUUAAGGAAGUUUUAAAUACUCUAGGUAAUGUUUAACGGUUGACCCCAAGCCUAAUCAUCAAUGACUUAAGUAUGUCGCACUCAUACGAGUAUCGUACCGGAAUAUAUAAAUCAUCUUUAUAUAUAGGCGGUAACACUAUCGGACAACACGUGGCUACGUUGUUUUCAAUCGAUAUAGACUCCAAAUCAACCAAAUCGCUUGUUCAAACCCCUUAAUCUAGCUGCCAUGAAAGUAUUUGGGAAAGCUAGAUUCAUAAUUUUUCCGACCCGCAUUUACUAUCAGAUGAUGAGUAGUCCCUAAAAAUGGAAUCGGCUGAGAAAUGAAGAAAUCUCAUAUAUACUAUAUCACUAUAGUACUACACGGUAAUAAACUAUAGCUAUAUAUAUAUCAUCUAUAUUACAUAUAGUACUAUAUAUAUAUAUCGGGUAGCACGGAGGCCUCCGUGCUAGCCAAAGUUGUUUCAAUGAUGCGGCUCCAAAUCGACCGAUCGGCUAACGUUAGUAUUGUGAUCCUACAACUAAUUGAAAGUAUUUGGAAAAACUAAAUUUCAAUGAAUUUUUCCGGUAUCAUUUACGCUAUUAAACGAGUAGAUAAAAAUGAAACGUUUGAGAAAUAAAAAUCUCAAUAAAAAAUGAUGAUAAAGACUUGAAUUUAAGAUCCCAGGUAUCUGGAUCUUACGUCCCUAAAAUACGGAAAAGAAAACUUUCUAAGAUAAAAAAUUUCAUCAAAUUUGGGAUUGUGUUACCAUUGGUUAAAUUCACAAGACGCAUCCACAUCUACCAUUAAAAUGCUGUCAAAUUUUGAGACCCUUUUGAUCACUAGCCCAAAUUAUUUGAAAGAUAUUAACAAUUUGUUUUCAGAAUACUUUUAUAGUGUUAAGAUUAAUCAAGGUCCUAACGGAGCCGAUCAUCGAUUUGAAAGCCCGCAUCCAUUGAAAACACUUUGGUAGCAACCGGAGGCUCCCGUGCUACCGAUUAGCUGAUCACAAGCCUAGCUCCUAAUAUACUGCUAUAUGUACCAUAUAUAUAUACCACACAUACAUGAUAUCAUACUAUAUAUACGUACUCAUACCAUGUAUAUAUAUGUAAUAUAUGUAUACUAUAUAAUAUAUCUAAUACAUAUAGAAUGUAUAUAUACAUAUAUACAACCAUGUAUGAUAUAUGUAUAUACAUUGUAUAUAUACUGUAUAUACAUGUUAUAUAUAUAGCACAUGUUUAAUACAUAUAUAUAACAUGUAUACCAUUAUACAUAUAAUAUAUAUACAUAUAUAUACAUGGUAUGUAUAACAUAAUAAUACUGUAAUACAUUAUAUAUACAUGUAUAUACAUGUAAUAUACCAUGUAAUAUACAUGUUAUAAUACCCUUAUCACUACAUGUAAUACCCCUAUACUCUUUAUAUACGCAUGUAUAUACAUAUGUAUACUAUAUAUAUACUGUUAUAUCAUGUAUAACCAUGUAUAUAUAUCUGUUAUAUCAUAUAUAAAAGUGUAUACUCAAUGUAUUAUAUGUAUAUUCAAUAUAUACAUGUAAUACUAUGUUACAUGUAUAGUAUACAUGAAUAUAAUUAUAUAUACAUGUAUAUUACAUGUAUUCAUAUACUAUAACAUGUAUACAUACAGUGUAUAUAUACAAUGUAUAAUACUAUAAUAUAAUAUAUUCAUGUAUACCUACCUACAUAUAUAUACAUGUAUAUACUAUAUAUCAUAUACAUAUAUAAAUGUAUAUAUACAUGUAUAUACAUGUAUAUAAUGUACAUAUAUAUGUACAUGUAUAUACCUGUAUAUAAUGUAUAUAUACUAUGUAUAUAUGCACGUACAUACACUGUACAUGUAUAUACAGUAUAUAUUAUGUACGCCAUAUAUUACACAUAUAUAACAUGUGUAUACUAAUGUAUACUGUAUAUAUAUGUAUAAUACCAUGUAUAUACAUGUACAUGUAUAUACACUGUAUAUAUACACAUGUAUAGUAUACAUGUAAUACAUGUACAUGUAUAUACCAUGUAUAUAUACACUAGUAUAUGAACAGUAUACCAUGUAUAUAUAAUGUAUACUAUACAUAUAUAGAAGUUGAGCUAAGAAAUACUAUCCGGUAGUAACGAGCGCUUUUAUUACCCUACGCGAUUUUGUCUUCAAUAUAGAGCCUUCCAAAUUGAACCAAUCCCGUCCCCUCCGUUUAACAUAUGAUCUAAACAAUGUACACUACCUAACCGACAUCCAAUUUCAUGUACUUUAGAAUAUUGUUCUUUUAUCCCAUCCAAGUGAACUAGAAAAAUGAAUGGCUGAAAAUGAAUACUCUUUAAAAAAAUUGAUGAUCAGGACCGUCUUGUAAUCAAGAUGCAGAAGUAUAUGAUCUUGUUUUAAAUAGUUUCAAAAGAAUUUUCUAAGCCAAAAAUUCAAUUGAUUUAGAUAUCUUUAAGCCGUUAAACGAGAAAACACCCUCCCUUAUCCGACCAUUAAAAUUACAAAUUUGAACCCCUUUGUAUCAUUAGGCAACCAUGAAUCGUCGAAAAGAUUGUGAAAUUUGAUUUUAAACACUUCAAGUGGUAUACGAUCAUGUUUCAACGGAGCCGAUCGUCAAUUUGGAAGUUCUAUCAUCGAAAACAAAUCGGUAGUACAACGGCUCGUUUACUACCGAUAGUAUUCUAGCUCAACUCUACAUAUAUAUACAUAUACAUGUAUAUAUAUGUAUAUAUACAUAUAUAUACAUACAUAUAUAUAUAUAUAUACAUGUAUAUAUAUGUGUAUAUAUAUAUAUACAUGUGUAUACAUGUAUAUAUAUAUACAUAUACAUGUAUAUAUAUGUGUAUAUAUAUAUAUAUACAUGUAUAUAUAUGUAUAUAUAUAUAUAUAUAUAUAUACAUAUAUAUGAGUAUAUAUAUAUAUGUAUAGGUUGGUUGAAUAGUAUAGUUUAACUGGUAAAAAUAAACAAAGAGUUAGAUCUAACGGUUGAAAACUCGAUAGCACCAAGUCUUUGGUGCUAUCGAUAGUAUCCCAGCCAGAUUAUAUAUAUAUAUAGUAAUGUGAGAUCCUAAAUUGUUUUAUAUGUAAGAUAUAAUAUGGCUAAAACUCUUAACCUGGCUUAAGCAUUUUGGGUAGUGGCUAGACCCAAGAGAUUAAGAGAUUAAGCAUACGUGCUAGGAUGGGAGUAGUCCCAAGAUGGGUAACCCGCUGGGAAGUUGAGGCGUCACAGUUGAUAUCAAAGCUAGGUUACCAGUUAGAAGUAUGAAAUGAGUCUCGAUUGAGUCAGAAUUAUACAGCGGGGAGAGCGAGGCUCUCAUGCUAUUGACUGUUGUAGGUGGAGCGGAGCUCACCAUAAAGUUCGUUUAGGCUAGCAAGAUGAAUCUCAUAUCAUCUGGUACUUGUGAGUCUAAGCCUAACGAUGACGUCGGGGCUUAAAGAGGUGGGGAAUGUGGGACCCUAGGUAGUCCUAUAUAUAAGAUAUAAUAGGGCUAAAACUUUUAACUCGGUUUAAGCAUUUUGGGCAGUGGCUAGGCCCAAGAGGUUAAGAAAGUUAAGCUUGCUAGGACGGGAGUAAUUUUAGGAUGGGUGACCCCCUGAAAAGUUGGGUUGUCAAAAGUAGGGCUACUAUACUCUUACGAGUAUAAACCUCUUCAUACUCAUAAGUUAUUUUUGAUGAUGGAGUUUCUGAAUUGAUGAUCUAUACCGUUAAAUAUGGUUUAGAGCAAUUAAAACUUUUAGGAAUAAAUUUCGUAGUUUUUCGAUUUUAUAUUAAAGUCCAUCAAGCGGGCAUAAAAUGAAUGGUCAAAAUUGAACGAUCUCCUAAAAUGGAUGAUCGAAUUCUUCAAUUUAAGAUUAGAAUUAUUGAUCUUUGUUUAGUUAGUGAAUAGAAUUUUCUAUAAAGAAUUCAACCAAUUAUUAUUCUUUUACACUAUUAAAUUAGCAAGUAUUCCGUAUCGACCGUUAAAAAUUGUCGAUUUUAAGAUCGUUUAAUCACAAUGUACAUAAUGUUGAAAAAUUAUAAAAUUUAAUUUCUAGAGAUUUUAAAUGCUUUAAAUCAUGUUUAACUGUAUAGAUCGUCGAUUCGGAAGCUUUAUCAUCAAAAAAUGACUUAUGAGUAUGAAGGCGAUCGUACUCAUAAGUAUAGUAGCUCGGACUCAUAUAUAUAUAUAUAUAUAUAUAUAUAUAUAUAAUUAGAGCAGGGCUGCUGUGCUUUAGGAGCGGAGGAACCUCUUAUGAUCCUGAUGCUGUUUUCGAUGCAUGGAUUUUCGAUCGACGAUCGGCUUCGUUGACUUGGAUCUGCGCAUUUUGAAUUUCUAGAAAUAUUUUUGAUACGAUUUUUGAUAUUAUUUACCUAGUGAUCGAAAGGAUUCACAUCCAUAAUUUUUAAUGGUUGAUAUCUGCCGUUUUUCAAUUUAAACCGGCUGUCGACAGUAUUCAAAUCAGACGAAUUUGUAUAGAAAUUCUUUUAUACUAUACUUACAACAAGAUUCCUAUAUUUCUGAUUCGAAAUCUUUUAGUGCUAGUAUCACCACUAUUUAUAGGAUUUUAUUUUCAGCCUUGUUUUUAAAUUAGGUUGAUUUGAAUCUUUCGAUUGCUAGGUAAAUUGACUAUCGAAAAAUCGCAAAAUUAUUUUUUAGACUUUAAUACGUAGAUCUAGUUUAACGGAGCACACCCGCAUCGUCAGAUUGAAAACUCAUCUCGAAAACGCUCAUAAGCGAGCACGGAAGCGCCUUCGUGCUCCUGAGGCACGAGCCUGCUUCUCUCUCUCUCUCUAUAUAUAUAUAUAGAGAGAGAGAGAGAGAGAGAGAGAACUAGACUAGAAUACUGUUAAUAGCACCAAGUGAUUGGUGCUAUUAAGUUUUCGGACCUUGGAUGAAACGAUGUACGGUUAGAAUGAUGGUGGUCCCCGAGGGUUGAGUAGGUGAUUGAUUGAAUAGUAUGAUCUAACGGGUGAAAAUAAUAAAAAAAAGUAGAUCUAGCGGUAGAAAAUUUGGUAACACCAAAUGCUUGGUACUAUCGAUCGAUAACAUAGUAGCCGGACUAUGAAUGCUAUUGGUAGCAAACGAGCUCCGUUGCCACCUAUUUAUUUUCGAUGAUGGAGCCUCCAAAUCGACGAUCGACACCGUUGAACAUGAUCUAUACCACUUGAAGUAUCUAGAAACUAAAUUUUAAAUCUUUUCGACAUCAUUGACCUAAUGAUCAAAGGGUUUCAAAUUUUAUAAUUUUAAUGGUUGAUAUGAGACGUUUUUUCGUUUAACGGUGUAAAGAUAUCUAAAUCAAUUGAAUUCUGGUUAAAAUUUUUUAAAAUUAUUUAGAAUAAGAUCUAUACUCUCGAUCUUGAUUACAAGAUUCCCAUCAUCACUUUUUAAAAGAUAUUCGUGUUUAGCCGUUCAUUUUGUGUCCACUUGAUGGGCAAGAGAACAAUAUCAAAAAAGCAUGAAAUUUGGUUUCUAGAUACUUCAAGUGGUAUGUAGAUCAUGUUCAACGGUGCCGAUCGUCGAUUUGGAGGCUCCAUCAUUGAAAAUAAAUGGGCGGCAACAGAGUCCGUUUGCUACCGAUAACAUUCCAGCUCAACUCUCUCUGUCUCUAUAUAUAGUUAUACACACACACAUUUAAAUUCAUCAUAAAAUCCUAAUGAUUUAUAAUUGUUUAAGAUAAUGUGCUGCACCAAUAAGAUGAUUUUAAUUCUUCUAAAUGAAUGUUAGACGUCUUUUCAAACUUUGAGAAACUAAUUGAUAAUUUGCUUUCGAGUAAAUAUGAGAGAUAUUCUAAGUUACCUCUCCAACAAAACAAGCCAAAAAUGAGAUAUUCCUAGGUAGUAUUAUUAUUAUUUUAAUAAGUAUGCUAAAGAAGCACUAUGUAUGUUUCUAAAUUCAAAAAAAAAAAGAAAAAAGAUAUUUUUGUGUAAUAUUGUAAGUUCUGCUUCUCGAAAGCAGAAGUAUGCUUCACUGUUUUAAUUUUCAAUAAUUUUCUCUAAUAAUAUUCUUCUAUCAUGUGGCAGAUCUUUAUAGAGGGUUCUGUCGUUUACUUAAAAAUUCAUAUUCUAAUUUCUAUCUCAGACUUCCUUUGUUGCUAUGAAUACUACUUGAUCGAACAGUGCUACUCUUUACCACAAAGACAAACAACUUGUUCAAAAGUUGUCUUAGGAAUAAAGAGCACUCACAAAAAUAAAGGAAAAAAAAAAGGAAAAAAAAAGAUAAGGAAUUGUAAAGAUUAAUUGGUGUUGGCGCCUUAAAAAUCGUGCCACGUGGUGAACCGGUAUGUACCACAAGAAUAGCCUUUGAAGCCAGAGAGGAGCAACAUAUGGUGCGCCAGGAGCAGAGAAAGUGCACCUAAAACCAAAAAGCAUGCAGUUGAAGCUUAUACAAUUAGGAUCUGCAGAUAGUGGCCCACAAAAUCAGGGAUGUGGCUCAUCAUGGAAAUAACUGAAUAACAACAGGUGAAAUUAUAAAUAGAUAAGAAACGUUUGACAUAGAGGUAUUUUUCUCUGUGAACGAGAAGACCAAUUUAUUUUUUCUUUCAUUUUUCACGUUCUAGGAGUAGUCUAUUUGCAAUAUUUUCAUUUGUCUUUGCAUUUACUGUUUUUUCCUAGGAGUAGUUUUAGGAUAGUUUCUCUCCACAUUGAACGCCUUAGUAGCGAUUCUCUCUUGUAAACAGUGUUCCUUUGUUGCAAUACACAUAUAUCAACAUUAUUCGGCUCAUUAGCCGAAUAGAAGUUACUGUGUGAAAUUAUUCUUUUAUUUUAAUAUACAUAUAUCAACACCAUUCGGUUCAUCAGCCGAACUGAAGUUACUGUAUGAGAUUGAACUCGGCUGAUUUGAUUCUUCAUUAGUCGAAUCGCUUGAUUCGACGGUGGAAGCAGACUUCGAGGGUCAUCAUCAGUAGCUGCUUCAUUCCUUAGCGUGCUUCCCGAAGGAAGGUAUUGACUAAGUUAGCGGUUAAGAAAAUCGGCUCGCAGCGACUGAAUUUCCACAGUGUCCAAUCUCUCUCUUUCUUUCUCUCUCUCUACCAAUUAUCUUGUAUCAUUUUGCUCUUACACUAAGACCAUACCUUGAAGGUUGGCUGAUUUUGACAUCUAAAAACGACCUUGGGAGUACUGUUGAGAAUAUAUAGUAUUUUGAAGAGUCAAGAAGCAUAAUAUUCUUAUUUUCUUAUAGAAAGAGGAUUGCACAUACUAAAUCUUUCGCAUCCUUCAAAUUUAUUAAAUUAGUAUAGGCCUAUACUUCGCGAAGGGUAGACAAUAUUUGAGCCAAUUAAGAUAGUCUUAUGUACAUUAUAACUUUUUAAUUAGUAUUUUCUUAACUUUCAAUAUUUAUAGAGUUAAAUUAUUUUAAUAAUUUUAUUAAAAAUUUAAUCAAAUUUUGUAAUUUUGAUAGUUAUUUUAUAAUAAAUCUUUUAACUAAAAAGUUAAAAUUGAUUGGCUUAUUUCAAGUUAAAAUUGUUACAUGCACCUAGUGCAUAUUGAUAUUUUAUACACUGCAACUUAUAUAAGAUGACUAAUGUUUCAAUAUCGAAAAUUAAUUAAAUAUAACUUAUUUACAAAAUCUAUUAAUUUAAAUUAUGUUUAAUGAAUUAAAAUCUCUAUUAAAAGGCGUUGAACAUAUGGUGUAUGCACAAAAAUACGUCCAGUGUAGAGAGUGCUUUAUUUUGUGCAUAUAUAAUAUAUAAUUCUAAAGGAGUGGAGAAAUCUUUGCUUGCACCUGCAUGGUGCACACUAAUAAUUUUUUAUAUACUCUAUAAAAUAUUAUAUGGUUGGAAUAUUUGGUAAUUAAUAUUGUAAAUAAAACAUAAUUUAAUAUCAUAUAAUAUAAAAUAUUUAAAUAAUUUAUUAUACUAUUAAAAUUUUAUCGUUAAUGAAUAUUUUAGAAUAAAUUUAUGGUGCAAUAGGCAUAUUAAUAAUUUUAUAAGACAUGUGGCAAUUCUCUAUCGUCUAAUACUUUAAUGGGCAAUGUGGCUUCAUGAAGAAUUGAAGAUUUGUUUUGGUGAUGUGAUCCAACCACUAAGUUAUAUAUUUUAUAAAUUAUAGAUUGUAGAUUUUUCAAUGAAUUGGCAUAUUAUUUUUUAUCCAGAAUUUAGCUUUUAUCCUGUAGUGUACUGAAAAAGCAACAGCUACUUGGUAGGGCAUGGAUAAGGAGAGAGAGAGAAAAGUGAAAUUUGGCUAAUCAUUGUUUUAAUGAGCUCUUAGAUUAAUUCGGUGCUAGCGAUUUAAUUUGCCUCAUCACAAGAGACAUGGCAACCUUUUUUUAAAAAAUAAAAUAAAACAAGAUACAAUAGAUAUGACAUUAAUUGUUUUAAAGAAAAGGACAAUAAUUUAUUAUUAUUCAUUAAAUAUAUAGAAAGAUGGUGCUGAAUCUUAUACUGAGAAUAAAUUAUUUUAAGUCAAUUUGCUUUAAAAAUUUAUUGACUUUUGUUUUUUUUCGUAAAAAAAUGUCAUUUUUAAAUUUUGCAUAUCAGGUUUGAAUUUUUAGUAAAUUGACCAAAUUACUCUUACUCAUCUUUUCUCUCUCCUUUCUUUCUCUCAUUUGUUUCUCUUGGGCCUCUUCAUUUCCCUUUUUCUUAUCGUUCUUUUCUCUCUUUCUCCUUCUACUUUCCGUUCCUUUUUUUCCUUUUCCACUGCCCCAAUCUGCUCCUCUCUCUUACCUUCCCACAUCUCUACCAAUAUCGAUAAUGGCGAUACGGGUUCAUAUACGACACAGAUCACAAGAUUUUGAAGAUGACGAGAAGAAAAAGCACGUUGCGGUAGGAGUGACAAAGGGCAAGGAAGAGGGGCUUGUUAGCGAAAAAUAAUACAGAGGUGUAAUAAAAAGAAAAAAAAGAAUAAAAUGAGAAAUAUAUAUAUUUUCUUUCUUUUGGAAAGGUCACCAUGUGCCACAGUUGCUACAAAAAAAGCCAACAAAUAGGAAAGAAAGAAGAAGAAUAAGAAAAAGAAGUUGCAUUGUUUGAGAUGAAGUUGUACCAUUUGAGAUUUAAGUUGCACUAUUCAAAACUAUUUAAAACUAAGUUGUAACUUUUCAAACGGUGUAACUUAAGUCUCAAACAAUACAACUUAGUCUUAAAUAGUAUAACUUCUAUAUUUUACGGUGCAACUUAAUCUCAAAUAAUGCAACUUAAUCUCAAACAGUAUAACUUUUUAUUUUUAUUUUUUACUAUGACUACUAUUUUUUUUCUUCUUCUUUCUUCCCUAUUUUUUGGGCUUUUUUGUAGUGGCCGAGGCACAAAAUGAACUUCCUAGGUUAAAAAAAAUAUAUGUUUUUUCUUAUAUUUUUAUUUUUUUUAUUCUUUCUUCUUAUAUUUAUCCACUGAUAGCAUUACUUUUCAUGACCGCACACCCUUCCUAGCCCUCUGCCCCCACCACUGCUGCCUUCGCAUCGAUGCGCUCUCCCUCCUUGUUAUCCCCAAAUCCUGCGGCACUCUUCUUGUGGCCGUCGCCGUCCACAUCUGCGUUCUCUUUUGUAGCCUUACCUUCAGAAUUUGUGCCAAGUCCUAGCCAGCGUCACUACCACCGGUGUGGAUGGAGGUGUGCAAGCGGUGGGAGAGAGGAGCAUGACAUCGACGUGGGGGCCGCAGUGGAGGAGGAGGAGGGAGAGAAAGCGGAAGAAAAAAAAAGGAAAAAGAAACUACGAGGAGAAGGGAGACGAAGAGUACGGAGAAAAAAGAAUGAGAGAGAAAGGAGAAAGAAAGAGGAAUACGAGUAGUUCGAUCAAGAGUAUUUUGGUCAGUUUACUAAAAAUUCAAAUCUAGUAUUCAAAAUUCAAAAAAGUGGUCUGAUUUUGCAAAAAUGCUAAAGUAGUGAAUUUUUUUUUAUGCAAAUUAGUCAAUCUUUUUUGAGAUUUUAAUAUUAAAAUAAGUUAAUAAGACUGUACUGAUAGUCUUUGAAUGAGUAAUGUGUAAGAUUUAUAUCAUAUAAUAGCUAUAUUGAUGGCAUCACUCAAGCGAGAACAAUCAGUAAACCAAAAAGGGAGUUACUUUGUGCGUGUAAAAUAGGUAUUACUAUUAUAUAUCUACCGUAAAGUAGAAAACUAUCUAAUAAUGAGAUUAGUUAAAUGAUGAGAAAAAAAAUCCAAACAUUUUCUCUUUUAGAUUAUUCAUGGAUUUUUUGCAAAUAAAUCACUUCAAAUUGCUAAAUUAUAUGUUUACUCCACUAAAUAUAUACUAGUAUAAAAUGUCCUUAUAGCAUCAAUAAACAAAUUUAUAUACUUAUGCCUUAGUUGUUCCUAAGUAGAUGCUCGGGCUUUGGUACAAAUUAGGACAAGUAGCUGAUGUUUUUUGUUUUGAGAUUAGGGCAAAUUAAGUUAUCCAUUGCAGUUCUCUAUUGCAAUACAACUCCUGGCCACUGGAUGCAUAGUCUGAGAUAAAUGGCUAGAAACCAUGUCUUUUGUGAAAAAAAAACCUAAUUAAACGCUGUUUAUUUUAUUGUAAUGGAGGGAAUUGUUGUAACAAAAGUUAUUUUAUAGAAGUCACUAAUUAUAUCAUUCUCAUUUGCUUGUUUGUUUGUUUCCAGGUCACUGCAAAGAAAGCCUAAAUUUACUUACCACAGUUAAUCCUUCUAAUAUUACAUUAAUUAGUUUAUCUUGAUUAUAAUUCAACUUAAGUGACUGCAAAAUUAUUGAGGGUGAAGUUACUUAUGCCUGACUAAUGGAUGAAGAAUCAUUGAACUUUAAAAGCAUGCAAGGAUAAAAGCACAGUAAACUGCACUGUUAGCCCCUAAACUAUUUUCUUGAGUUUUGGGUUUUAAGUAAUGAAAUGCCUUGUUUAAUAGAUUAAGUACUGGUUCUAAUUUAGUUCUAAUUUGAAUUUGAAUUAUGGACAUAGCAUUCUGGACUUGAUCAAUUUUCACUUUCCUCUAAAAGUUUCAAUUUUGUUGCAUUAAAUGGCUUAGACUUUUGAGAAAUGAUUCGGUACUUUUUUUAAAAAAAUAUAAAAAAAUCUUAACCGUUGAUUAAUAAAGGGUAAAAAUGUAACUUUAAUACUUAGCAGGUAAAAGGAUUAUUUUAUUCAAGGUUAGUUUGGUAAUUAAAUAAUAUAAUAUUUAAAGAAACUUUUAAUUGAGGUCCUAAAUUUAUGCAUUAAUUAGUACUAAUUUAGGAAAUUAAUUGAUUAACCAAAUUUAUGAAAUUAUUAGGCAUUAAUUUAGGAAUCUACUUUAAAUGUUUUAGUGUUUCUCAAAUUAUGCAUUAAUUUAAAUUAUAGAAAUUUUAGAAAUAGUUUUAUUUCUAAAUACGAUGAAUUUAAAUUUUAAAAAUUAAAUACUUAAAAUUUAAAAGUGAAAUUUAAAUUAGAGGAAUUUCAUAUUACUAUUUAAAAACUAAAUUUCACUGAGAUUUAAAAUACAGUUUAUUCGCAUCAAUUUAAAACGUAAUGCAUAAAAAACUUAGAGAGUAAGAUAUCUACAACUGAUUUCUCUAGAGGAAUUUUAUAUUACUAUUUAAAUUUUAAAUUCAAUGAUUUAAAACUAGAUUGAACCGAUUAAUUUGACUGAUCAGACUUUGACCUAUUCUAUCAAGAAUCUGUUUUUAACCCUAUUGAACCGAAUAACAUUAGAACAAUUUGGAACCGGUAAAGAAAUAAAAUUUUUAAACAGAAUAAUAAUUUAACUGUUAGAGCUAUAAAUAUUUUAAAUAUAAUUUUAACAUAUAAAUUAAAAAGAUUAGAAUUAUUGGUGAGAAAAAAAAAUAGUUAGGAAUUUGAAUUCGAUCUGACUAACAAUCACAAAACUUAUUUCCGAACUCGACGGAUUUCAAAAUCCAUAUCCAAAUUCAAAACUGACAAUUUUCGAAACCCAAAAUCAAACCUAAACCAGAAGACUAGAAUUCAAACAAUUAUUUCUGUUUACCAUAUUUCAAAGUAUUUAUAUGAAACUUAAAUUUUUAAAAUAUAAAUUUGAAUAUAAUAUUAAAUUUUAAAUUUAAAAGUGAAAUUUAAAUUAGAGGAAUUUUAUAUUACUAUUUAAAGUUUAAAUUCAAUGAUCAUAUUAUCAAAUCAUUUAAAAUUUUUCUUAUAUGAAAUGCCAAAUUAUGAAAGGAAAGAUAGAGAGAGCAAAAGGAAACAAAGAAAAAAUAAAAAUUUUGAAAAUAUAGUCGAUGUAAAAUGACUAAAUUGCCCAUGUAUUAAAAGACAAAAAUAUCAUUUUUUGAGGUACCUGGUAACCGGUACCUCUCCCAAAGUGACCUGCUAUUGCAGGUCACAAUUUUAAAAAAACUAAAUCUGAGUCGUUGAAUACGCGUGAAUGAACGGUAACCAAAAAAAAAAAGUAUAGAAGCAUUACUCUAGACUUUUAAACCGUCUCAAUCUUACAUUCGCUAUCAAUGCAUCAUCCAUAGCGGUGACAAUUCAAAGCGGCAUAUCAAGUCGCUAUUCCUAAGUUUGAUAAUUAUGCGCAUGUAAGCAAAAAAUUUCUACCAUAAAAGCCAUAAAAUGUAAGAAUGGCAAACUUUACCAUUUUUGAAUUUCUACAAUAAUAGUCACCUAGUGAGAAGUCUAGGAAUACUGAUUUGGUAGCAAACUUUCAUCUUCGUGGUUGACAAAAGUUGAUGAUGGGGCUACUAUUGAAAAAUUUUAUAAUUUCAAGAUCUAUAAUGUAACCGCUAGAUGUGCUUGAAAUUUGGUUAUCGAAUUCGACUUGAUGCUCUUGAUUCGCCGACAGCUUUGUUUUUUUUUUUUUUUCCCUACAAAAAUUUUUCACGUAAAUUCUUGAGUUCUUUUUUUCUUUUUUUUUUUUACCUUCCAGACCAAAAUACUGAUAUCAUACUGGGGACCACCAUAGCCAGAGAUGGGGUAGAUGCUGGCACCCAUUGCAAUCUCACUGUUAAUUUGGAUGAAUCCAGAACACAGUAAGUUGUAGCACCCUGUUGCUUGAUAUGCAUCACUCUACAAUUCACCACAACAAGCAACAUUAAGAAGCCCAUUUUUUGAUAUCCANACCUUUGAACUUUAUUAUUAUAUCAAAUAUUUCCAAAAAUUUGGGUUAACUGUUACACUUCAACCAGAAUCAUUUGCAUAUCAUUUAUGCAAGGGUUAGAUCUGGCUUUGACUUUUUUUUUUUUAAAAAAAAAAACCGACCAAUUUGGUUAUAGUUUAUCUCGUAAAAUAAACCAAAGGUGGACUUUUUCCUAUUCCCGUUUUGAGUAUGGAAAGCCCCCUCAACUUUAGUCGAUCCUAGAAAAGCCUCCCGAAUUAUAAUUUUUUAUAAUUAUGGUCCUUCUAAUUCUAAAUUUCUUUUUAGAAUUAAGUAAAUUUACUAGAUUAAUUGAUAAUUUUAUCAAAUUUUGUUAUUUAAGUUAUAUUAUACAGAGUAAAAUUAUAUUAAUUAAUUAUUAAUAUCUAAUUAACCAAAAAAUUUAACACAAAAAUUGUGACUUAAUUAACAAUAAAAUUUCAGAGAAAAAAGUUAGAAGAUGAAGGGAGUAUCAAUAAACAAGAAAAAUUAGAGGGUUAAUUUCACACGGCUCCCUGUAAACAUAUUAAAUAACAAAUAUAUUCCCGUAAAAGUUCAGCUUUUUAUAUUUAUCACUAUAAAAAUCUAGUGAUAUUCAUAUUUGCCUCUCUGAUUUGUUAUCAUUAGAGCACUAAUUAUUUUUUAACAAAAGAUAAGUGAAAUGACAUUUUUGCCAUCACAAAUAUGUUCCUCCAAAAGUCCCAAUUGUUAGAGCUUUUAUGGAAAAAUAUCCUUCUAACAGUUAUUUUUUUUCUUUCUACCAUCACAAAUAAUCUAAGAGGGAUAAAAAGAUCAAUUUAUCUAUUAACUAAUCAUGAUUAAGUAUUUUAUUUAUAGUUAACUAUAUUUUUCUAAUAGGUCCUAACGGUAGGAAUAUAUUUGAAACUGUUAGAACUUUUCUAGGGAUAAAUAUGAAAAGUUAAACUUUGUAGGAAUAUACUUGCUAUUCGAUAUGUUUACAGACAGCUGUAUGCAGUUAAUCCAAAAUUAGAAGUUGAGGAGCCUAGUUCAGAAUCUCUACGAUUAAGGGGGUCUUUAUACAAUUUUACCUUUUAUUUAUUUAUUUUUAUCCCGAGAAAUUUAUUUCGCUUUCAACGGCUCUUUUUUUCACAUGUCACCUGCUUCUCUCUCUACUCGUUCUCUCUCUCCCUUCCCAACCCUUCUCUCUCUUUCUCCCUCAAAUCCCCCUUAUUCCCCCCCCCUCCCCCCCACUCCCUUUAUUAUAUAUNAGAGAGAGAGAGAGAGAGAGAGAGAGAGAGAGAGAGGAAGUAGAGAUUGAGGGAUCUUUUAAAGUGGUUGAGCUAUAACUCAGCUGCGGCGUUGACUCACUCUCCUUACAAUCCUCAUGCGACCCAAUUCUCAGCUCCUCUGAGGAUCAUCUGGGUUUCUUGCUCAAGGUGAGUUCUAAUUCAUGAAGAGUAUAUAAAAAGCGAUAAUUUUAAUGAUUUAGUGGCAUCCGUUUAUUGUUUUCAUUUGUUGGGGUUUGGUUAACUGCCUAAGAAAGUUUGAAAUUAAAAAGCGGGAUUGUUGGGCUUUGUUUUUAAAAGAAAGAAAAAAAAAAGUGAUUUUUAUGGUCCUUGGGAGUUGUGAGUUGGUGAGCUGUGGUUAGUUGAGAAUUGGGGAAUUUUCGAGUAGCAAAAAUGUUUACUUGCGUGAUGGGGUAAAGCCCAAAAGAGUUUGCUCUCAAAAUGAUGUUUUUGUUGUGCUUUUACGGGGUUUUCAAUGCAACUUUUGGAGGACAAAAGCUUGGCCAAAGAAUCAUGGGUUUUGCAGAAACAAGUGAGUUCAAUUUUGGGUUUUCACAUAUUGAUUUGGCUUCCUUCGAUCAGUAGGUCUUGGGAUUUUUUUUAUAAAAUUUUUAAUUUUUGUUAUUUUUUGGGGGUUUGGGGGGGUGGAAAAAUCACUCCUAUUUUGUUGGCUUAAGUUAGUAAUUUUCAUUGCAUGACACUUAAUUUCAAAAUUCACAACUUGAUUCUCUCUAGUCUUGUUAUGGUUAAUGUAGAGAUGAUGCAUGUGUUGCAUGGGGGGUUUUAAUUUUGAAGAAUAAUUAUCAUGAUUACAGUUCCAGUAUGUUGGAUUUAAAUGAGACAAAAAAUUCAAUUUUGCUGCUUUCUAUUUUUAAUCUGAAGAAUAAAAGUUACAAGGGAAUAAGAGAGUAAAAUGAUGCAUAAAUUUUCAUGUUUUUAUCAGGGAGAUCUUUUAUUAUGAUGCUUGCCCAGUUUUAUUUCAAAGAAAAUUUAGUACCAAAUGCUAUGUUAGUUAUUUGUUAUAUCAGACUUGAAUGAGAGGAAAAAUUGGAUUUCGCUGCUCUAGCAAAAGGCAUGUUGAGUUCUGAAUAUACAAGCUUAUUCUGUUAAAACUUGAACAACUUCUCUCUAAACAUUACUUGUACUCUCUAUCUUCAGAAUAGAAUCAAGAUAUUCAUAUAACAAGGGAAUGCCGUGCUUCCGCUUCUCGGCAUGGGAAAAGGAAGAGCCUCGGGCAAAAAAGUCCCCAUCGGCUAGGUCAAGCAGCACAACCUCGACCGAUCGUGAUGUGAGGAGAUCGGGCUCUGACUUGUCAUUAAAUACAUCAGAUAUUAGUGUUGAAUCUUUUGGGAGGUCCCCUUUCCCUAGUUUCUGGCAAAGGCCGAACAAUCUCAGGAUUUUUACCUUUCAAGAGCUCAGGAAUGCUACGAGGAAUUUUAGCCGUUCAUUGAUGCUCGGAGAAGGUGGAUUUGGGUGUGUUUAUAGGGGUGCGAUUAAGAGCCUCGAGGAGCCGAUCAAAAGAAUUGAUGUUGCUGUAAAACAAUUAGGGCGUAAAGGGCUGCAGGUAAGUUCCUAAUGACUAGUUCUGCUUUCCUAAUAUCUUUCAUAUUGGGAACAAAUCCUUGAAUUUGAUGCCUACAUAUCAUACCGUCGAUACUUCUUGAUUGUAUCUACGUAAAUGCUAUUCAUCCAGAUUUAUUACCUUUGUAUUUUGAGUUUGUUGACCAUUAUUUACAAUUUAACUUUCUUUAUUAUGCUAAUUUAUUGAUACAUUUAUGCUGCUAUUUCAUCUUUCAGGGACACAAGGAAUGGCUGACAGAAGUAAAUGUUCUUGGCGUGGUGCAGCAUCCAAAUCUUGUUAAGCUAAUCGGCUACUGUGCCGAAGACGAUGAAAGAGGGACUCAACUGUUGCUUGUGUAUGAAUUUAUGCCAAACAGAAGUGCAGAUGACCAUUUAUCACCAAGAUCUCCUAAACCUCUUUCUUGGGUCAUGAGACUAAGAAUAGCUCUAGAUGCUGCUCGUGGCUUGAAGUAUCUGCACGAAGAGUCGGAAUUUAAGGUUUUCCUCUUUCCUUUUCUUCUUCAUUAGAAUACAAGUAUUUAGUCAUAGUAUACAAAUAUUUGCAGACCAUACAUGUUUUUCUGGUCAACAUGAAGCAAAAUUUAUUGUGGAAGAGUCAGCAGCGAUAGAUGUCAUUUGAUCUCCUCGAAAUGCACUUGGUUGUUGAUAAUACUUUAAGAAAACCACAGAAAUUUGCCCAAUUUCAUACAUAAAUUGCACAUAAUACAUGAACUUGUUUCCUAUUCUCUUAUGUCACUAAAAUACUUCCCAAAUAGUUAGAAUAGUUCUCAUCUGAAGUCUGGACUUCUGGUUAACCAACCACUUAAAUCCUCACAGGCAUCGCAUAACCAAAAAAAAAAAAAGAAUUUCAAAAAGGACAGGAAUUUCCUAAAUAGCAGUUUUUUGUUAGAUUCGUCAACUAAAUCUUGUGAUUGUCACCCAAUUAAUCAGCCCAGAAAUCUGUGCUGGUUUUGGCUUGUCUAGUAUGCAAGUCAGACCUCACAUAUUUCUAACUUUGCUCUAUAUUAGUUUGCUUCCGUGGCUUACAGUAGAUUGAUGUGUCGGGUCGUCUUGAAUACUUUUUAACCAUGUUCUAUGCAUCAUUCCAACUUCUUGUGCACUAGUGUAGGGCCCGAGCUUCGCUGUGGGUAAACACUAUUUCAGUUAAUUAAUAUAUUAUUGUCAAGAAUUUAAAAUUGAAGAAUUUAUAACCAAAAAAAAAAAACCAAAAUGACGCUUAGAGUGCCUUUAUGUACAUUAUAUGAAAUCUAAUAUAUGUUCCAUUCAACCAAAAAGGUCAACAUUGUUCUUCUCAGUAUCGUAGCACCUACCAAUUCAAUAUCAAGAGUUUAUGCUCAGGGAAAGAAAAAACCAAAAACAACACUUUGAGCUGUAAAAGUCAGUAGUCAUAUUGCACAAAAAAUUUUGCAUAAAUAAUGCAUUAGUAAUCAAUUAUCAUAAUUACUUGAAUCAUUUAUUUUUCAGCCAAUUAAAACACUCAACCAUGUUACAGUGGCCACCAUAACAAAAGUUAACAUAGGAAAUCAUUUAUUGUUGCUAUCUAUUUUGACAAUAUAUUAAAACUCAUAGAGGCGCAUCAUUUCUAACAAUAUGCAAUUUAAAAUUCUAAAUAAGAAGCAAAACUAAUAUUACAUAAGGAAGAUGACUUGUUGAUUGCCUAAUUGCCUGUUUUCAUAAUGGUUAAAAAGUUUUGAAGAAAUUAUAAAGUAAAAGGCAAAGAGUUAUAUUUCUCAUCAAAUUACUAAUCAUCAUUCAUCUAAGGUAUCACUUAUACUACUAAAGUAGAUAAACUACUUAAGUAAACACCACAAAGUAGAAAUAAGUUAAUCGUAACAUUGUCCAUUCCAUUCUGGUAAAAUUGGUAGAGACAAUUGGCAAUCAGCAAAAAUAAAAAAAUCAAUAAAUGAUAGUUGAAUAUUACAACCGAAAGGAUGCAAGGGAUCAAUACUAAACUAUGACAACAUGAAAUUAAAUUAAUUAAAAAACAAGAAGUUUAACAAGACUCUCCUUUACCUUCAUUUGGGUAAUAAAUUUUGUUCACAAAGCCAAUAGAUGGGAACUUGCAAGGAUAAGCAUCAGGUAGUUCAGCUUUUAUCCGCCAUGAACCCCUUCCAUAAAAAUACCCACCAAUUAGAUAUUUGUAAUCUUAGAAAAUAUUAAUUGUUUGAAUCAAAUAUAUAUAUUAUAGUAGAGUCCGACUAUGGUGCUUCUGGAAGCAUCACUUAUGUGGUGCUUCCAAUUUUUUAACCUUUAGAUCAACUCUUUGACCAUUUCUAGCUAUUGGAUUAAUAUUAUUCCCAUAAGGGGAUCACUAUACCUUAGGGAGACCACUAUCAUUCCAACCCUACAAUUUUUUGAUCUAAGGGCCAAAAAGUCGGAAGCACCAACUCCUUUAUACUUCCGGAAGCAUAGUAGCCCUACACUAUUGUAGUAUGAUUAGAUAAUAAAAGAAAAAAAUAGAAUAAUAUUGUGGAGCCCCUUCUCAGACAUUUUGCCGCAAACUGUAUAAACAAAAAAACGAAGUGAAAUUAUGAAAAGAUAUUAAUUUUCUAAUGAAUUUUUGUAAUAGAAAAAAAAAACCAUUCUACACCAUUUUACAAAUUAGUCUAAUUGGCAAGGAGGUCUGUGGAUCACAAAUAUAUACAUGUAAUUCAUAGGACAAAAAAAAAAAGAUUGGCACUUGAAUAAAAAUUUCUUUCUUUCAAAAAUAUUUUAUUAUUGAUUCUCUUCAUCACCUAUUUCAUCCUAUAGCAGAUAAAACGAAUGGAUUGUUUUCUUUCUACUCUGGUAUGCUCAUUCUAUGCUGCAUCACUGGUGAUGAUAAUAAUAAUAAAUAAAUGGAAUAUAAAUAAAUUUCUUAUCCACUGUUUACGAUUAUGAUUGCGAGGUUGGAUCACACCGAUCUCUUCCCCGCUACUGCUGCUAGGGGAAGGGGGGACGCCCUGUGUCAACGACAUCUUGUUGAGGCAUGAUCUAGAGAAGGAUGAUGCCAUAGAGCACGUCGGGGCCAACUCGUCGCAGCUCAUUGCUCCGGCAAUAGAGGUGAGGCGCUUCAAGGGUUUUCGACCGAGGCGGUGAGAUCUAGUUGACAAAGCUUGCGAGGCGAGCACCUGGCGAAGGAGGGGCCUUGGAUCUCCAGAACUCUUGGAUCCAGCUUCGGAUGGAGCUUGAUUUUUCUUUGAGAGGAUCAGUGGAGCUGUAAGGAUCUGAUAGUGGGGUGGUGGCGGUGGACCGGGUCAGGUCAGGACCCAGUUUGGAUCGGCUUGAGCCGAGCGGAAGAGGGCAGCGACUCAGAGGAUAAGGAAAACCCAAUCGAAGGUCGUUGAAAUGCUCUCUUGCAAGCUCCAGGAGAUCAACCUUGGUGAUGCCUCUCCAAUAGCGUGGCCGGUGUCAGAGUGGAGUUGCUUCCCAGGGAUGAAUGGUGCAGCAGCAUGAGGGCUUUGUGAGUCCAUUCAUAGAUAGAUAGAUAGCAAGAAGAUGAAAUCUAAAGAGACAGAAAGUGUUGGAACAAAUACCGCAAUGAAAAUCUGAUUGUGAUUAAAAUCUAACUAAUUUUGUGAUAAAAAUAAAUAAAUCAAACUUACAGAUAGACGCAAAUAUUCCAAUAAAGAUUUGAUCUUAUCCGGAAGCGUGCGAGGCACUGCCCUAAGGCGUAUUCCCGUCCUUACAUGCAGAAUUAACCGAAAAUAACACCCCAAGGUACAACCGGAAUUCCUCCUCCUGUGAGCACGAUCAUGAAGGAGGUUGACGGAGAUUAUUUCAACACCCAGUGGAUAAGGGGAAUGUUCAAAAAUGAAAGAUAAAAGAAUCAAUGAAUAGAGAUUAACCAAUCAUCUAAUAUCUUUUCUACCUGCUCUGUCAUAAGCAAGAAGAAAAGAAAAUGCAUAAAAGGAAAGAGGAUUGCACGUUCUUUCUCGUUACGAGAAAGAAGCGGAAUCCGCGCAACGGAAUGAGAUUCCUAUGGCGCAAGAAACGGAAUGGAACGGUAAAAAUAUCCCGUUAGUUUCUUUCUCAUUAAGAAACAUAAUAAAAUAAAUAAAAUAAAUAAAUAAAUAAAUAAAUAAAUAAAUAAAUAAAAUAAUAAAUAAAUAAAUACCAAAUAAAUUUAAAGUUCAAAUAAAAUAAAUUCAAAUUCAAAUUUUGAGUUUUUCUCCAACAAUCCCCCACAAAACUCAAAAUUUUAAAAUACAAAUUAAAGAAAAAAAAAUUACUCGGUGUUUAUACUAUGCAAUGGGUGAGGUGUCUUUAAGAGACUUAACCCCACUUAGUGUAAGCAGUUUCCAUCAGACAGAAUCGGAGUGAACCAGGUCUUGAACUACGUUCCUUUGACCCUGACUUCAAUCACCACACACACAGUAUAGAAUUCUCCGUCGUGGAUCUGUGCGUUAAUGACCAUGCACAGUACUUUGAUUUUUCAUAAGAGUUUCUAUGGAUAGCCUAUAUCACAUAUGUCACGCCCCCGCCUCGAAACCCCUACCAAUUUGGCACGAUUCGGGCGCGGCGAACGGACGCCGAACGAACAGCACCUCUCCCGUCCGCCCAAGGCUCAACAACAGAUCGAGUACAAGAAUUUACCCAGGAUAUUAAAUUCUAUAAGUACACAAUUAACGGGGCACAAACAGUGCCAACAACAAAGAGCAAGUAAUCCACAAGAUACACAAGUGAAAUAAAGAGAGAACUUACUACCUAUUACAUCGCAUUUGCAUUUUGUAUACAAUUACAUUCUUUUCCUCAAAAUGAAUACAUAUUUUCAUCAAAUACAUAGCUCUCCAAAAUCCUCACCUACAUGAUACUCUCUCAAAUACAUAGGUGUGCUAAUGCGAAAGGAAAGCUACUACUCUACCAAAAAUCCUCACUGGUCGGGCGCGAUGCCCUUGCCGCGGUCCUCGCCCAGCAAAUCUGUACCUAGCCCUGGAAAUAGAGUGGGGUGAGAAUUAUCUUCCAUAGUUCACAGUAGGGCCACCGAUUCUGCCGAUCUCCCCACUAGGUCCAAGUGGGCACAAUAGGGCCACCGAUUCUGCCGAUCUCCCCACUAGGUCCAAGUGGGCACAAGUAACAACGAUAUAUAUAUAUAUAUAUAUAUAUAUAUAUAUAUAUAUAUAUAUAUAUAUAUAUAUAUAUAUAUAUANAAUUCGUACAUACACGAUCAACAGGACACAAAUAGUGCCAACAACGAAGAGCAAGUAAUCCACAAGAUACACAAGUGAAAUAAAGAGAGAACUACUAACUAUUACAUCACAUUUGCAUUCUUUAUACAAUUACAUUUUCUUUCCCAAAAUGAAUACAUGCUCAUCAAGUACAUAGCUCUCCAAAGUCCUCACCUACAUAAAUCUCUCUCAAAUACAUAGGUGUGCUAAUGCAAAAGGAAAGCUAUUACUCUACCAAUAAUCCUCACUUGUCGGGCGCGAUACCCUUGCCGUGGUCCUCGCCCGGCAAACCUGUAUCUAGCCCUGGAAAUAAAGUGGGGUGAGAACUAUCUUCCAUAGUUCCCACUGGGCUCGGCCGUCGACUCCGCCGAUCUCUCCACUAGGUCCAAGUGGGCAAAAGUAAUAUAUAUAUAUAUAUAUAUAUAUAUAUAUAUAUAUAUAUAUAUAUAUAUAUCAAAGCUGUAAAGACAUAAUAGAAAAACUAUGCUACUAUGCCCAUAAUCAUGUAAAAUGAAUGUAUGCAUCAAUUAGUAAAAGUUUUCUAUCAUGCUAACAAGUUCGAUCCAUGUUCGAUAAGCAAUGUUCGAUGACAAUAUUAACUUUUCAUUACCCAAUCUGUGGCAAACCCUUGGGUUUGCCUACGCCUCACAUAUCCAUCCCAUUGGGUAAGGAGGUUCUAUGUGCCCCCGAAUCCGGGACUGUCUGCGGACAUCAAUUCUAUCCUAAUCGUCCGACACUUCGGAGUACUCGACGACCAAUCCUCUCCAUGUGAGGAUAUGGAUGGCUUUACCAUCCCGAAUAACAGACCGUGAGCUUGAUCAAUCCUCUCCACGUGAGGAUACCCUACGAACUAGGGCCAACAUUCUCUCGGAACUCAUCUAUUCCGACAUUCAUGCAUAAUUACUUAGCUAUACUACUAAGUUCAUUGUUCACGAGUCAUUUUCUAGGGAAUCCACCUAUCCCUAAGUUCAUGAACCUCUAGUGUCAAAUACAUUACAUAAUGCCACUCGUUCUAUUCUUUAAACAUUUAGAUGCCACUCUCUAUGUCACUAAAUAACCAUCGAGUUCAUCUCUUCACUUUAGCACUAUAGGAUCUACGUUCCGACCCAAUCCUUACCUAUCCAUUUCACCAAGUAUUCCAUGCACACUAGGUUAACAUUUAGAAGCAUAAGAAAAAGGUACUACAAUGCAAUCCUACAAUGCAACAUGCAAGAGAUGAGAUUAUAUGUUAUUCUAAGACAUAAUAGAGAAUUCGAUUGCUUCGGGAUGACACCACCCACCUUUUGAGGUAUGAAGGUUCUAGAAAUGCUUCCCAACGAACGUUACAACGAUGUCUCGGCCUCCUUGGUCCAAAACGGUGCUCAAUCGGCUAUAUUUCGCCGAUAGCUUUUCACCCGCUCGACGAAUCAAAAAUCCGACUUCCCCCCGCGUUUAGGCACCUAUCAAUUAGGUUUACAAGCUACUAAAUGAGAUCAAUCUCAUGUAUUUCGAAAAACCCCUAUUUGGGUGCCCUAGGGUUCACAUCUUGCAAUUAGCACUAUAGAACCCUAGCUUCUAGCUCUAUUCCACCAUUAAUGGUGCUAGAGGUCGAUUUGACCUCCUCUCAAAAGCCAAAAACCCAAAAACCCUAAGUUCUACCAUUAGGGUUCAAGAGCUUACCUUUAGGUUAGCUCCAAUAAAGAGGAGAGGAAGAGGAGAAAAUGCUCCAAGCCUUCCCUAGCUUGCUCUCCUUCUUCUUCUCCUUUCUUUCUCCUUCUUCUUCUUCUCCUUCUUUUCUUCUCUUUUCUUUCUUUCUAGAAAGAGAGAGGGAGAGAGAGAGAGAUGAGAGUUGGGAGGGAAAUGAGAGAGGGAGAGAGAGCCCUUUGCUCUCUAUACUCUCUAACUAAGACAUAAUUGCAGCCAAGCCCCUCAACUUUUCAUUUCUCAAACUGCUCUGCCUGGGCAGUUUUCGCGCGGAGGGACCGGCCCUCCCAAUGAUGGACCGGUCCCCGAGAGCCUUCUACCUGGUUGCGCUUACGGGAACCGGUCCCUCUGGCGAGGGGUUGCAUCGGCUGUCCGUCGCAACCUCAGCUACGGGGAUCGGUCCUUCCCUGCCAGGGACCGGUCCCCGAGAGCAACUCGGCGCAAACCCCUUCUCUGCCAGCAUUCUUGCUUACGGGAACCGGUCCCCACCACCAGGGACCGGUCCCCGAGAGCAGAACCUGCCAAAUGCAUAUUUUUGCAUCUUUGCUCUCGCGGACUCGACUCCAAAGCACUUUUUGUGUUUUGGACAUUUCUAGCUUCUCUGAAGCCUACUCACUCGACAAUUAGUCGAUCCUGGACGAAGUCCAACUCUCGGAUUUCGAGAAUUCACUUCCUUACAACAUAGUCGCGGCCACAUACGGAUAUUCUUAUAUAGGUGGUUUUCUCCAGGGAUAUGCGUAGAGUUUCUAUGGAUAGCCCAUAUCACAUAGCCGCGGCCACAUACGGAUAUUCUUAUAUAGGUGGUUUCCUCUAGGGAUAUGUGUAGAGUCACAUCUCGCGAAAAUCAUCGCCUUGGAUCCCAUUAAGAGCUGUCAGCUCAACCUAAUCCACUGCACAGAGCACUACUCACCAUAGGGAUGGGAUUGGAGCUAAAGCUCCUCUAUAAAAUGUGUAGAAAGUGCUUUUUGGCCAACCUGGUAGCUUGUUUUUACCACAUUGAACCUUCUUCAAGGGAUCUCCUAUCACAAAGGUUGGGUUCCCACUGCAGGAAGGCCCUUUACGGGCAAGGUCCCAUCCCCCUCGAUGACAGCAGGACCAUAGUCCUCUUUAGGCCUUCAAUCUGGUAAUCUGCAAGAUUCUGAUCAAAUUUGACAAAACUCAAAUAAAUAAUAUGAUAGAAAAUUAACCAUCUAACAGAUUUCUAUCUCAAUAUAACAUAAAUGUUAACUUUAGAAUUUAUCAAUUUUAUUUACAAGUUAAACACUAAGAUAAACAAAAUUAAAUCAUGAGGGUAAUUAUAAUAUCAAAAUUUAUCAAACUGAUAAAACAGACUCGCCCUACAAGUUGACGUACACUAAAAUUUAAAAUUGAAAUUUAAUCAUGUUGAAUAGAGUUUGAUUCAACAGCAAAUAGAUGCUCUAAACAAUUUUAAAAAAAUUGAUUUCAAUUAAGUAAUUUCGAGCAAUAACAUAUGCAAUGAAAUAAUUUAUACUGCAAUAGAGUUAAGAAUCUCUGCAUCACGUAAAAAAAAUAAGAAGUAAAAUGGUGUCUGGUUAGUGGGUGUAGUUUGAAGAUGCUACUUUAGCAAUUGUGGCUCAAAUCCCAAUUGAAACAGUUUUUUUUUUUUUUUUUUUUUAGAAAAUACUGUAGCAAUUUUCUUUCCUCUUUUCUUUUUUUUCAAACAAAAUUUUACUGUAGCAAAAUUUUACUGUAGAAAGUAAAGAGUGGUGGUCUGGUAGGGUUGUAGUUGAAGAUGCUACUUUAGCCAAUCGUGGGUUCAAAUCCCAAUUGAAAUAGUUUUUUUUUUUUUUUUUUUUAAGAAAAUACUAUAGCAAUUUUUCUUUCCUCUUUUCUUUUUUUUUUCAACAAAAAAUUUUACUGUAGGCAAAACUCAAAAACAUGUACACAGGAAAACUGUAACAAAAACCUUUUACUUAUGGCUAUAUAUAAGAAAAUUACAGUAGCAACACUUAUUUAUCUUUUUAGGUGUAUGUACUAUGUACCGUAGCAUUAUUAUAUAUAUAUAUAUAUUAUAUAUAUAUAUAUAAUUAUAUAUAUAUAUAUAAAAUAUCCGUAUAAUGUCUCUAUUGAAAACAAAUAAUGCUACAGUUUUUUUUUUUUUAAUCAAAACAGUAAAAUAUAUAUAUAUGUAUUUUUUUCUGCGAAAAAUAGUAUAUAUAUAAAUUAACUUAAACUUUAAAAAACCGCACAUCUUAAAAAAAAUUUAUUGUAGCAAAACCUUUUUUUUAAAAAAAAUCCUUACAAGUAGUUUUUUUUUUUUAAAAAAAAAAAACUUAUAACAAAACAGUAAAACCGUUUUUUUUUUUUUAAAUCACCAAAGGGUUUUACUGUAGCAAACUCAAAUCGUACACAAAUAGAAUUACAUUUACUGUUGCAAAAAUUCCACCCUUUUGGAUCCGUAUGGUAUAAAAAAAAAACAAUAAGAGAAGGUAAUAAUUUGCAAAUAAACAAUAUACAAUUAGAAUUUAAAAAUGCUAAUCCCAAUUUAUUUAAAUUUGAAUGACAAGCAUACAAGCAAGUUGUCAAACAGAUUUAUAUGCAAUGUAUAUAUAUAUAUAUAUUUUAAUGGAUUAGUACCGUCAGAUUUAAUCACAAUCAGGUAGGAAUUUACGCCUUAGAUUGUUGGAACAAAUACUGCAACGAAAAUCUAAUUUUGAUUAAAAUCUAACUAAUUUUGUAAUAAAAAUAAAUAAAUCAAACUUAUAGAUAGACGCAAAUAUUCCAAUAAAGAUUUGAUCUUAUCUGGAAGUGUGCGACGCACUGCCCUAAGGUGUAUUCUCGUCCUUACGUGCGGAAUUAACCGGAAAUAACACCCCAAGGUACGACCGGAAUUCCUCCCCCUGCGAGCACGAUCGUGAAGGAAGUUGACGGAGAUUCUUUCAACACCCAGUGGAUAAGGGGAAUGUUCAAAAAUGAAAGAUAAAAGAAUCAAUGGAUAGAGAUUAACCACUCAUCUAAUAUCUUUUCUACCUGCUCUGUCAUAAGCAAGAAGAAAAGAAAAUGCAUAAAAGGAAAGAGGAUUCCGUUCUUUCUCGUUACGAGAAAGAAGCGGAAUCCGCGCAACGGAAUGAGAUUCCUUUGGCGCAAGAAACGGAACGGAACGGGAAAAAUAUCCCGUUAGUUUCUUUCUCAUUAAGAAACAUAAUAAAAUAAAUAAAUUAAAUAAAUAAAUAAAUAAGUAAAACAAUAAAUAAAUAAAUACCAAAUAAAUUUAAAGUUCAAAUAAAAUAAAUUCAAAUUCAAAUUUUGAGUUUUUCUCCAACAGAAAGAAGGCCUCCAUGAGUAAUUAUUGCCUAAGAGCCUAUAUAGGGAGGGAAUAAUCAUUGUCUGGUAGGGGAGGGUGUGACGUUCAACUUUCUAAAGGGUCACCCAUCCUAAAAUUACUCUAACUCUAGCAUGCUUAACCCUCUUAACCUCUUGGGUCUAACCACCGCUUAAUAUGCUAUAGCAAGAUUGAGAAGUUUAGUCCUAUUAUAUCUCAUAUAUAGGACUAUUUCAAUUCUUGGAAAUGUCACAAUCAUCCUCCUUUUGAGCCUUGACGUCCCUAUUAGGCUCGAGCAUAUUCACAAACACCAAGCAAUGUGAGACUUAUCUCGCUAGUCUUUAGCCGACCUUGUGGGGAGCCGCGCUCCACUCACAACGAUCAUCAGCAGGGGAGCCAUGCUCUACCCGUUGUAUAACCCUAGCUCAACUGAGACUCAUGUCACAUUUUUGGCUAUUGAUUGGACUGAAACCAACUGUGACGUCCUGCAGUCAUCGCCCAAAAUGCUAUGGCCGGGCUAAGAAGUUUAGCUCUAUUAUAUAAGAGGGUUAAGAGGGGUAAUAGGAAUCUGUGUUUGUGGCGGAUCUGUCCGUCCUGUGAGCAAAAUUGUGUUUAAAAAAAUAGGCAUUUUUUUGCUCGCUCUAUUUCAAAAUUGUACCUUUUUUCUAAAAGGGUUUACAAAAAGGGUCCUGGGGCAUGAUAGUGUGACGCGCUACUUCCCAGGGAAUCACCUAUCCUAGAACUACUCUGGCCCUAGCACGUUUAACCCUCUUAACCUCUUAGGCCUAGCUACUGCUCAAAAUGCUAUAGCCGGGUUAAAAGGUUUAGCUAUAUUAUAUCUCACAUAUAGGACUUAUAAAUCCUGGAGUGUCACAUUCCUCCUCUCUUAAGCUCUGACGUUCUCGUUAGACUCGAGCACACUUACAAGUAUCAGGCGAUGUGAGACUCGUCUCGCUAGCCUUAGUGACCUUGUGGGGAGUUGCACUUCACCCACAAUGAUCGUUAGUCAGGAACCCGUGCUCUACCCGUUGUAUGAUCCUAGCUCAGCCGAGACUUAUUUCACACUUCCGACUGGUGAUUGGCUCUGAUACCAACUGUGAUGCUCCACUUCCUAGGGAGUACCCAUCCUAGAACUACUCUACUUCUAGCACGCUUAACCCUCUUAACCUCUUGGUCCUAAUCACUGCUUAAAAUGCUAUAGUCGAGUUAAGAAACUAAAAAGCACCAAGCAAUAUGAGACUCUUACUAAUCUUACUCGACCUUGUGGGGAGCCGCAGUCCACCCACAAUGGUCGUCAGCCGGGAAGCUGCGCUUUGCCCGCUAUAUGACCCUGGCUCAACUGAGACUCAUCUCAUUCUUUCUAUUGGUGAUUGGCUUUGAUACCAACUGUGACGUCCUGCUUCCGAGAGUCACCCAUUCUAAAACUACUCUAGUCCCAGCGCGCUUAACCCUCUUAACCUCUUGGGCCUAGCCACCGUCCAAAAUGCUAUAGCCGGAUUAAAAGGUUUAGCCCUAUUAUAUCUUAUAUAUAGGAUUGUUCCAAAUCCUAGGGGUAUCACAGAGGGUCUUCAGUAAUUAUUGCCCUGGGAGAGUCUUUAGUAAUUAUUGCCUAUGAGAGGGUAUAGGGAGAAAUGAAAGUAUUUUUGUUGUUUGACAAGGUUCUAGCGUAUUCCCCGAAAUAAACAAAAUGAUGUUUGUAAUUUUCUUGAAAUAAGAGAAGAAUAGUGGGAAAAGUAGAGUGCAAUAUUCCAAAAUGCCAAGUUUGCCCUCAUGUAUGUUUCAAAUUUAUAUCUUUGUUUAAUAUAUAUACAAUACAUAAUAAAAGUAAAAAUGUAUAUUGUUUAAUUGAAUAAUUAAAUAUCGAGACAUUAUGAUUAAAAAAAAAAAUAUAUUAUUAGAAGUACAAUAGAACCGUAACUAAUUGUCGUGAUAAUAAAUAAAUUUUACAAUAAUGAUAUCUUUAUUAUGCCAUAAUAGAAGCAAUAACAAUAAACUAAGAUAUGCUACCAUUAACAACAUAGUUCAAAGUAAAUAAUUUUAUAGGCUUAUCCCAUAAACCAAGUAGCAUACGCUGCUAGCAAAUCUACAUUUUGUGUGACUUAAAAUAUCUCUAUAUUAUGCUGCCAUUAAUUCCAUAUAGUUCAAAGUAAAUAAUUUUAUAGGCAUAUCUCAUAAACUAAGUAGCAUACGGUUGCCAGCAAAUGUACAUUUUGUGCGACUUAAAAUUUACAUAGUCAAAGCACGACUGUUUUAGGAAAAGAACUUCACAAAUUAUACAGGUUUUGACUUAACUUUCAUCCAAAGUAUUAGACAACCCACAAUUUCCGUGACUUCAUUUCAUAGUCAAAGCAUAUGACUGUUUUAGGGAAAGAACUUCACAGAUUCUACAGGUUUUGACUUAAAAUUUAAUCCAAAGUAUUAGACAACCCACAAUUUGUGCGACUUCAUCCCUUAUGCAACAUAGGAACACCAAUGAAAUUGGGUCAUACAACUUAGAGCAAAUAGCCAGCAUCACAAUGAACCAAGUAAUCAGAUAUUAGAUUAGAUCAGGUUAGUGAGAUGGCCAAAUCAAAACGGCAGCAGUUUCGAGGCAUCAUAACCCCUGACAACUUUUGCCCUGCCUCUGCUAAACCCCAGGGAUAAAUCCUAUUCGAUGGUUUGAGUAGAAUAAAAUUAACGGGUUAUUCCAUAAAAAAUGGAAUAAUUAAUCCAUGCAGGUGUUAUUAUAUAUGAGGUUAUUCUGUGUCAAAACCAACUUGAUUGGAGCAAUCUACUGCGCCUGUAGUUAUGAACCACCAUCGAAAGUUUAUUGAUAACUCUGUUGAAAAUUAUCACAAUUAUAGACCACUCGUGUACAUAAAGUGGAAAUAAGGAAAAAUUAUACUCUUUCUAAAUGAACUUUAGCUUUACACAUGCUUCUCAAAUUAUGAGGUGCGUGACACUUUGAUCAUCCAACUUUAAUUUGUUACAAUUUUUAAUUCAAACUUUCUGGAUUAUUGUAAUCAAAUCUUGCGAUCUAAAUUAGUUGACGGAUAGUGACGUGUUGCUGAUGUAACAGUUAUGUGGCUGUGCUGUAGUUGAUGAUUCCUCAGCAAUUCCUGCAUGAGGCCUUUGCUGCCAUCAAUGCUGUCAAUGCUCCAAAAUCGAUGUCGUAACACCACAACAUCAAAAGGAAGGGGAUGAUCUCUCUCUCGAAAAACAUAGGAGCACCAAAAAAAAGAAAAAAGAUGUCUCAAAUGCUUAUUUCCAAGGUAAAAACAUACAGAACUUAACAUGAAUUAUGAACCAUUUUGGAAAAGCUAUGCAACCUUUCAAAAUUUUGAUUUUAGUCACUCAACGACAUUCUGACUUUAAAUAACUAGCUUAAAUUUUAAAGUCAAAGUGUCGUUGACUGAUUCAAAUCAGACAAAUUGAAAGGUUGGAUAGUAAAAUUAAAAUUUUGAAAGGUUGGGUAGCCAUUUCAAAAUGGUCCAUAGUUUAGGUAAGUUCUGUACGUUUUUGCCUAUUUUAAAAAAAUUGAGAACCAAAAUAAAAUGGGUGAGAAUGAUGCUGUUGGUACGAAGAAAGAAGAGAUCUAGCCUCAAGGUAUUUGGAACGUGAAUUUACAAAUUUACCCCCACUCGAUGACUUUGCACUUGGCCAAAAUCUCCUCACAUUGGUACUGAGUGACCGGUACCGGUAUCAACCACAGCUCGUCACAUCUUUUGCACAAUUUAAUCGCAACUGUCUACUUCAUAUAGUUUAAGGGUUCAAAUUUGAGUGUUGUAUAAGAGCACGACAUAUGUAAACUUUGUCACUGUACAAAAAGAAAGAACAAUGGAUUUUGCUACUUGAAUUAUGUAGAUUAGAUCUUUUGAAUGGUUUCUGAUAUUGAAAAUAUCAUGUAUUCACAGAUAAUAUUUCGUGACAUGAAGACGUCCAACAUUCUUCUGGAUGAGCAUUGGAAUGCAAAAUUAUCCGACUUUGGGUUGGCUAGACUUGGACCAUCAGAAGAAUCGAGCCAUGUUUCUACGGCGGUAUGCGCAACUCUACAAAUGUAGAUCUCCUCUAUUUUGUUGAUUAUUCUGCUGGUGCAAGUGUUCUUCAACAUUAUUUAUAACUUUAACAUAAUAAUUUUAUAUUGCAUAUUUGAAGAUUAUGAUAGUAUAAACGGGAUAUUCUUUCAUUAUGGCAUUAAAUCUCCACUUCGGUGGGAUGCGUAGUUAAGAUAUAGUCACAGAUUACCUUUCUAUUGACAUGUGCUUCAAAUUGAUCCUUAUUUUACAAAAAGAAAAUGGCAUAUUAGUACAUAUUGAUAAUCCAUCAUUUUGAUUUAUUAUUCCCAUUCUACAUUUAGACGAAGCAGAAAUUUUUUUUGUGAUUUUGAAAACUUUCUUGUUUUUUUUUGUACAAAAAUAAAAAGUCAUGCUUUAUGCAUAGUAUAUAGAUCAUAAUAUACUAAACACAUAUAUCAUUUAUUCAUUAUAUUUAGUUCAUAAUGUGUUAUAAAAAUACAUGUUUUACUAGAUCUUGAUACAUCCAAUUAUCAUCAAUGUCUCCUUAACAGUAUUUUUGUCCUGCUACAUGGUGGAAAGAAUUUCCGACCUUGCUAGUGUACUUUUGACAAGUAUGUUUAAGUGCAUCUUCCUCGAUAUAAUGCGAUGACCAAACUCUUUGUGGCAUGUUUAUGCAUAUUCAAUUACGAUGAUAUCCUCUUAAGAUAUAUUGUAUACUUCUUUUUUUUUUUUUUUUGAGAAUCAUGUAUAGCUUAAUAUUUCUGCGACUUCUUGAAUACUAGGCACUAUUCUCCUCCCUUCUUUAUGAUAUUAUGAAAAUAAAUCCAAACAGGUAGUAGGAACCAUCGGAUAUGCAGCUCCUGAAUACAUCCACACUGGGCGGCUCACCACCAAGAGCGACAUUUGGAGCUACGGUGUGGUUCUCUACGAACUCAUCACUGGCCGCCGCCCCAUGGACAGGAACCGGCCAAGGGGUGAGCAAAACCUCUUGGAAUGGGUGAAGCCAUUUGUAUCUGACGUGAAAAAAUUCCCCUCAAUUAUCGAUCCAAGAAUCGAAGGAAACUGCUCUGUAAAAUCUGUGACCAAGCUCGCUUUUGUGGCGAACCGGUGCUUGGUGCGGCAUCCGAGGUCUCGGCCCAAGAUGAGCGAGGUGGUAGACAUGGUCCAAAAGAUACUUGAAAAUGUGGAGACCGGAACCCUGGAGGUACCGCGGAGAAUCUCUUCCGAAGAAGAAAGGAAGAAAAAAGGGCUAGACUUGAAAAAGAGGCUCGCAGAUUUAAAGGCGGGCGAGGUAAAAUGGAUUAUGUGGACAGGUUGGAGAGCAAAGCUGGUAAAAACACACUGAGCCAAUAUCAAAGAGAAGGUUUGUGGUGAUCAUACAUUGAAGAUCAGAUUUACUACAAUAGUAAAUUGCCGUAAAUAAUGAUGAUUUAUUUUCCUGUUUUAAGGGGUUAAAUGCAUAUUGUGCAAUCACCAAAAUUGCAGAAUAAUGUUGGGUUGUUGAUGUUAAUACGGGGCAAGAGUAAAUUGCCUCUGGCAUAUCAGAUGAUGUAAAAAUUAAUGAUCAUUUUCAUGCUAUACCUACAAGUUUAUGUAGCACCUUGUGCAUAUAACUUUUCUCUGCUAAGAAUGAAAAAUUUCUCUUAUUGUGCUCCGUCGGUAAUUCUUUUGUGUUGCAUUAUACGCACUACAAUUUUUUUUUUUUUGGUCAUUGGAAGUGCAUUUGAUGGUCAUGGUUACUCUCAUUCGCUUGUAACUGAUUUAAGGGAAAAUUGGUCUAUGAACUCCAAGUUGUACUUUUUUUUUUUGUUUGCGUAGUUUGCAUACUGAAAGUAGUGAUGGAGGUCUCCUUAGGUUAUCUUGGCUAGAGUACUUAUCUAGAGCAUGUUUGGGUAGAAAGUAGUGAUUGAGGUCUCUUUAGGUUACCUUUGGCUAGAGUACUUAUCUAGAGCAUAUUUGGGUAUAAGUGGUGCUCUUGCAGAAGUGUUGUUUAAGUAGUUUUAAAAAGAGCACUAUCAGCUUGAUGUUGUAGCUGAGUUGGGGCCCAACUUUUUCUUUUUUUUUUUUGGUUAACAAAUUCUUGUCAAAACAAAAGCACUGAUCAUUGUUUGCUAAAUGUUUGAUUGCUGCUUACUGGAACAAAGAAGUUGCUUCGAAAGGUGGGCCGAACAAAUAGUAAAAUUCUGCCAGAGUGAAUCUUAUGCCAAAUGGGGACAAACGGUUUCUGAGGCCGUCUACUCCUACAUAUUUAAUAAUUUGCAAGAGAGAUAUAACUUUGUUUGUUUUAAAAAGUGUUUGUGUGUAUCUGGUAUACAUCCUUCUGUUAAUAAAAUUUCCAUGAAUGUGAAUGCACUUCAUUUGGAAAUCUGAUCGAAAACAAAAAUUGAGUUAAGCUCUUGCCUUGGAAUGAAAGGAGAUUGAACUUAAUUCUGUAUAUCUUUAGUUUCUGGAGAGUAAUUGAUUAGGAUCAGUCCACUUUGCUUUUGCUUUUCAUGUUUUGGUAACAAAUCUUAAUUGCAUGCAUUCAUGAGAUAUCCGAUUUUAAACCUUUGGAAGUUGGUUGUGUUUGUGACAUACAUGCAAAUCUUCCUAAGAUCAAUUUUUAAUUUUCAAUAAGAAAUAUGAAAUAGAUUUCGAACAAUGGUGUUGAGAAAAGGUAAUUUGAGUUCCAUCAAAUUCUCAAAUUUGAUAGUUCCAAGCAUUUUGAGACGCCCCAUCAUGAAAUUCUCAUAAAACUUGUUGAUCACAUGAAAGUUUUUAGGGUGUGUGUCUUAAAAAUUUUUUACUUCAACAUGGCCUAGCAGGGACGAUCAGAUGUAUAUAAGUGCUUGACGGUUGAGAAACAGAAUAGAAAAAAAAAAAAAAAAAAAAAACGAAAUCCAUUUUUUCAGGAGAAACUCCUGUCUAGAAGUUGUACAACUUUGCCUGAUAGUUAAGCAACUACCUUACUUGACAACCUUUUUUGGUCUUUUUUCAAGAGUAUAAAUGUUAUUUACAUCAAGAAGCAAAAAAACAUUUUGAAUAUCUUAACAACUCUCUGCGGCGGAAUCAGAGAUUCUGAAUGUAACGACCCUACAUCACCGGCCUAAAAUGUUUAAGCUCAGUUAUUAUUAUUUAGAUGUAUAGCCUCUUAUAUUCCCAAUCAAAAUCUUUUUUCAUCCGAGGUGAGACUAUUGAAACAUUAUAAACUCCACCCAUUUAGACCUUGAUUGUAAGGAAAUGAAUUCUCGAAGUCCGAGAGUUAUACUUCGUUCAGGAUCGACUAAUUGUCGAGCGAGUAGGCUUCGAAGAAGCUAGAGAUGUCCAAAACACAAAAAGUGCGAGUAGGCUUCGAAGAAGCUAGAGAUGUCGAGCGAGUAGGCUUCGAAGAAGCUAGAGAUGUCCAAAACACAAAAAGUGCUUUGGAAAUCGAGUCCACGAGAGCGAAUAGUGCAAGAUCAGCACUUGGCAGAUUCUGCUCUCGGGGACCGGCCUCUGGCGGUGGGGACUGGUUCCCGUAAGCAAGAAUGUUGGCAGAGAAGGGGUCUGCGCUGAGUUGCUCUCGGGGACCGGUCCCUAGCAGGAAAGGACCGGUCCCCGUAGCUCAGGUUGCGGUGGACAGCCGAUGCAACCGGUCCCCUGGCCAGAGGGACCGGUUCCCGUAAGCGCAACCAGGCAGAAGGCUCUCGGGGACUGGUCCUUCAUCGGGAGGACCGGUCUCCCAGGGACCGAUCUCUCGGGCAGGGACCGGUUCCCGUACGCGUGUUGCAGGGGAUUACUCUCGGGGACUGAUCCUCCCGUUGAGGGACCGGUCCCUCCGCGCGAAAAAUGCCCAGGCAGGUUGGGUGGAGAGCAGUAAAGUGGAGGGGCUUUUAUGAAAAUAUGCAAGUGCAAUAAGUUGAGGGGUAUAGAGGGGCUGAGCCCUCUCCUCUCUCUCAUUCUUACCCCUCACUCUCUCUCCCUCAGCUCUCCCUCUUUCUCUCAAGGAAGAGAAGAAAGAAAAGAGAAGGAGAAGAAAGAAAAGAGAAGAAGAAGAAGGAGGAGAGCAAGCUAGAAAAAGGCUUGGAGCAUCUUCCUCUUCCUCUCCUUUCCAUUGGAGCUAGCCAGAAGGUAAGCUACUAAACCCUAACAAUGGUAGAGCCUAGGGUAUCGGAUUUCUAGCUUUAGAAAUGGGUCAAAUGGAACCCUAGCAUGAUUAGUGGAUACUUUAAGCUAGAAUCUAGGGUUGGAUGGAGUGGUUUGCUAUAGGUGCAAACCUAGGACUCCAAUUUUGGGGUUUUUGGAAAUAUGAGGAUUUGAUCUCAAUUGACCCUCCGUAAACCUAAUUGCUAGGUCCCCGAACGCGUUUGUGCACUCGGUUUAAGCAUUCAUCGAGUCUACUCGAAGAUAUUGAAGAAACGGAGGAAUUAGCUUCGUUUCCGCCUGGAGGGCCGAGGAGGCAUCCAUAAAUCGCGGGAUCGGAUUUCGAGUAUCGUAGCAAGAAACCGAAGACCUUUAAUUUCCGAAUCGCGGAUCGGAGGUCGUUCAGUGGCCGCGCAUGAGUUGGGUCGAGCCGAGCUGUGGGCACCGCGGGCGGCCGAUUGCAAGUGACUACGACCAAUCAGAGAGUAAGUUAAGGUGGGUUGUGCUUACCGAAGCGACUAGGUCGCCCCGUAUGUCAAAGUGGAAUAUAAAUUCUUGUUGAUGCAUAUGUAUGUGCAUAUGGGCAUGUUAGCAUUAUGUAAAUAUAUGCUAGUGGAUAGAUGCAUCCAAAUGUUUAUAUGCUUGUAGAAUAUAUGCUAGCUAAUUACAUGGAUGCAUGGUUAUAUGAUGCUAGGAGAGGCAUGAUAACAUAGUAAGCAUAAUGUAAAGAAUGCAUGUCAAUGACAUAAAUGUUAGAUGAUGCAUGUAGUUGAUGCUAAAUAUAUGUAUGUGAACUGUAGAAUACUCGAUAUGACAAAUAGGAUGUCAAGUAGAUCGAGUGGCAUUAACCUAGUGUUAAUAAACAUAGGUCGGACAAAGAUGACAUCGAACCUAGUGUUGAUAAACAUAGGUCGGGUAUGAACCUAGUGUUGUUGAACCUAGGGUGAAUAUGAGUGGCAUCUAACCUAGUGUUAAAGAACAUAGGUUGAGAAUGAACCUAGAGUUAUCUAAACCUAGGUGUGAGGCAUUAACCUAGUGUCGUGAACAUAGGUUGUGAACUGGACCAAGAAUUAAAGUAAACCUAGGUUAUGUGAUUGAGGUAUUAAACCUAGAGUCAGUUGGACCUAGGGUGGAAAGUGCAUUGGACCUGGUUAGGUCGAUAAUAUAGGGUUUGAGACCAACUCUUGAGUUAUGUGAAGUGGACUCCGGAAUCCCGAGACUUGUGAACUCAAUAGUUCUUGGACCGCGGGUGUAUGUGGCAUGUUCCUCUCCCACCGGAAGAACUUUGAGGAUUGUGAUUGCGCAAGAACAAAGAGCGCUAGGGUGUAUGCGACAUGUUCCUCUCUCCCUAUCGGGAAUUUUGGCUAUGGGUGUACGCGGCAUGUUCCUCUCCCACUGGCGGAUCCCUGACCACGGUGCACGGACCUUUGGGCGGACCGUUGGGGGAUGUGGUUCUUGGUUUGCAAGCUGAGGUGUAUGUGACAGGGUCCUUCACCUCGAGCCGGGCAGAGUACGGUCGAGGCCGAGUUGGGUGGCUAGCUGGAAUAAGGUAGAUAGAACCUUGAGGGCUAGUGGUAAAUGUAAUAAAUCUAAGGUCUUGGAGACUUUAGAGGCAAGUGGGACUUGAGUUGUGAACCUAAGGUAGUAGAAACCUUAGAGUUGGAUGACAUGAACUAAAGCUAGCAAGAUUGAAUGUAGAAUCAAUAAUUCUACUAGUUGUUGCAUAUAUAUUCAUGUUGCAUAUAGCAUGGCAUUAUUGCGGUUGUGAGGCAAAAUAAGGUAAAGUUAGUUGCAGGUUUAUAAUAUAUAUAUCUAUCUGUUUAUUGGACUAACUUGUAUUUGCCUCCCUUGGACCUGUUGGUCGAGCUCCUCCCUUGGGUGGCCGUAUCUACUGGGAACUAUAGAGUUGGUUCUCACCCCACGUUGUUUUGGGGUGUUACAGGUUCACACGUGAGCGGCGCGGCGGCGAGAGGCAAGGGCGUAGCUUCAUAGAUAGCGCCCUACCACAGAGACCAGAGAUAGCAGUACCCCGUAUCGGCAUAGCCUAGGGGUAUAGGAAAAGGAAAGAACUAGAAUGUAUCAAACUUGUAAUAAAUUUGUAAUAAUUAGAUUGUGAUUUGGAAGUCGAAUGCAAAAAAAACUGUGAUGUAAAAAUGCAAGCUGGUGAAUGCUUGUAAUAACUUAGUUGUUUAUAUUUUUGAUACUUCCUUAUGCAAUCUAUGCUUGAUUUCUGUUCCUGGUUGGAACAUCGUAAAUUGUAUUGAUUGCGACACCUAGGACGUACAGGAAAAACUCUGUCCGUUGGGCGGUCUGUCGGCGUGCCCGAAUCCGACCAAAUAGGUGGGUGUCGCAGCGUGACAUUGAUAUUCUCGUUAGGUCCAAACUCUAUCACAAUAAUAUAGACCCGAAUUACGAGGCAAUAUGAGGUUGUAGAGGUGGUUCUUGUGGAUUCAAGAGGUAGCUGCCACCAAAUCUAUGAUGUAUCACUUUGUUCCACAUAACACUUAACUCGCACAUUUUCGGCUGGUUUUUGUCUCUGAUGCCAACUGUAAAGACCUGACCUCCUAGUAAUAAUAAGUAGGUUUAAAUAUGUAGGCUCGUGAUUUAGGCCCCCAACAAAUUUUUUUUUUUUUUUUUGAGAGAUAGCUAGCAUGCUACACUGAGUCUUUACACUAAUUGAGUCUUUACAUUGAUUAUUAUUACUAGCAGAUUGAGUCUUUACACUAAUUGUUUGCUCUUAAGGCUAGCUUAUAAUCUCGUUUCGACUUUCUACUGCAUAGAAAGUUUCGUACUUUUUUCUAUAGCAUGUGUGUUAUCAUAUACAGCUCAUAUUUAUUUUCUAUAGACUGUUAGUUUCUAUAUCUAGUAAAUAUUUUCAUAGUUAGAUUAUAUUAGAUUAUAUAGCUGUGAAAUGAGAGAAAUCAACCAAUAAUCACCGUAUAUUCAUCUAUUUAUUGAAUAAGAAUACGACCAAAAAAAGAGCAUUGAGCCAUUCUGAGGAUUGAGAAUUUAGACCAUUGCUAUUUUGUUAGACAGUGAUCCUGUGUCAGUAUAAUAGGACUCUUCAUCUUUCUUUCAAUACUAUGUACGUCUAGUUUGGUUCUCUUUUUUUUUCUCUCCUUUUUUUUAGCUUUGUUAACUGAGGUAAUUUCAUCUUUUCAAUGAAUAAUAUAGGCAACAUUCCACCUUUUAGUCAAAAAUAAAAGGAUUGCUUCAAGGUGAGAUAUAUGUCAAGAAUUAAAAAUAAAUUUAAAUUCUAUGUUAAGAUAUUGCAAGUAUAUAUUCAUCGAUAUACUAAACUUGGAUGCAAACAUGUCAUGCCCUAACGCAAAAGCCCAACUAGGCACGUGAGCAGACCCGCCACACUGAUAGUGAUUUUCCUAUACAUGCACAGCAUCAAAGUACGUAGCACCUAUCAUAUGUAUGUGAUAUUUGAGAAAACAAUACCAAGGAAUACAUUUUUUUUUGGAAAUCAUCAUAAUGUUUACAAAAGGCUCGACUACAUUACAAAAAUAUGCAAACUAUUAGUUGCAAUAUUUCUUUUCCAAAAUUAAAACCAAAAUGACACUACGUUAGACUGCUAGGUAGCACACAACGCCACUCUAUGCCACGCUCCACCCCUUCCGAAACUUAUAAAAGUUUUCAGAGGGUAUAACAAACUACCAAUGGGCAAGCUACACUCAUUGGUCAAUUAAAACAAAAAUAAGAGCAAAGCAUGUUGGAAUAAAAGUUACAGUCGUGCAUAUAUCAAAAAAAUCAUAAGCUCAACUGCUGAAAUAAAGAAGGCUCUUUCAUAUGUAAUACAUAUAGGGUAGAUUAGGCAUCAAUUUGAUGUGUAUGAUUGCUAACUCAUGACCUAAAUUCAGGAUGAAACCCUAACUUUUUUUGUCAUGGGCCUUAACUUUGCAAUCCCACACUGGGCCUUAACUUGCUUGUCCUAGGCUACUCUUUCGAAAAAGCUUACUCUACCAUGCUGUUGAUCAGACCAUCGUAGAAGUGAUAGAGGAGAAAAGCAUUAUGUCAUCAUACUCUAUAAUCAACAACAAUAGUAUCAGUUAAGAAAGCAACUAUCAUAUAAAAAAUCUACCAUGAAUGUCGUUCCGGCAGAUAAAAAUACUAUAGCUACUACUAGUCCACAUGUCAUUAUAUUUAUGUUCAGGUUUAGCUACAUACUUUCUAAAUGAAACAUGGAUAAUAAUUGUAAGAGAAAAGCCCUCAAAUUCCAACUUGACCCAUGAAACCUCAUUGUCAUCUCAUUUUGAUCACUCGUGGGGGUUAGAAAAUAUGAAAAAUCUUAAAAUCUCCUUAAACUUCCUAUUGAAAACCAACAUAACCUACAACUUACCAAAAUCUUAAAGCUAACCCAACAAUGGUGCUCCAAGGUCUAAGAUCUUCUUGUCAACUCCAAAUAACUCAAUCUCCAAAGAGGUUGCCAUGAGGGAGAAGGAGGAAGUGAGGGAAAGUAAGAGGGAGAGUGAAGAAAUUAGGAUUUCUUAUGAGGAGAGGAGAUGGAGAAUAGAAAAGAGCAAAACCUAAUUCCUUUGAGUCUUUUAUAAAGGGUACACAAUUGCAUUUGGACUCUCAAACAACCCACAAUUUGUUUCCCCCCCUGUUAUGAGCCGAAUUCGCCUCUCUUUGACCUGGUCAAAGAUCUUCCUCGGAAAAUGUGUCGGGAUGCGAAGCGGCUACGAUUAAUGACCCUCGAAGUUUGCGCCAUUCGACUGGAUCAAGUGAUUCGGCUAAUGAGGGAUCAGAUCAGCCGAGUUCAGAACCUCUUACUAUAGAAUUGGUUUGGCUGAAUAGGCCGAAUGUACGGGAAACACUGAAAUGUGAGAUGAUUAUGUAAACUUCAUGUAUGCAUUUUUUGAGAUGAAAAUGUAAAUAUGAUGUAAAUGUUGAAUGUCAAAUGUAAUAGCUAGAACUCUCUUUCGCUCUCUUGUUUGCUAGAAUAACUACUCGCUUGAAUCAUGUAUGUUGUUUAAGUUUUUCUAGGCAACUUAUUGUACAUGAUCUUGUUGUUUACCCUUGGGCGGACAGGAGAGGUGCUAUCCGUUCGACGUCUGUUCGAUGUGUCCCAACCGACCAAAUUGGCGGUUGCGGGGCGUGACAGGAGCUCUCCACAUUUUCUGUCAAUUACGGUAUUUACAAUGAAGCUCAUAAUCUAAAAGAUUAAUUAUAAGGGUUUAUAUAACCCUAAAAUCCUAAUUCUACUAGGAAAUAAUUUUUGCUUUCCAUCCAAAUCUGAUUCACAUGUAGUCGUCAAUAUCUUUUUAGGAAUACUCUUUAUAGUGAUUCUAGACUAUUUCUAAUCUUUUGGAACAAGAUUAGAUCCAAUCAAAGUCAAACUCUGCAUAUCGACUCAAAACAUGGCUUUAUAUAAUCCAGCAUGCACGGUGAACCAAUGGCUCUGAUACCAGUUUGUUACGACAAGUGGACAAACAGAAAUGAAAACGACGAACAUAAAGUAGACAAACCACAAACAGAAAAUAAAGUGGAAUACAAAGAUUUAUGUAGAAAAACCUUUGCGGAGAAAAAACAAUGGGUGGAGGAAGAGAGAACUUCACUAUGAAAAAGAAACUACAAUGUUCUGGAGAUUACAAAUACUACAUUACACAUCCAUUUUUCCUUCAUAAUUCAUUUAUUCAAAAAAAAUUUUGUCGCACCACGAAAUUGUUGGCGAAUUGGGGACCCAAAAUCAAAGUCAAUAACCAAAUUUCAAGGCAUAUCUCACAAGAGACCAAAAGAUAAUGGAUGGAUCAUGAUUAGUGACAUAUAUAAAGCAUAUAUAAAAAUUGAACCCUGUAAAUCUGGUUCAAUGGAAUAUGUUGAGAAAUCAUAACUAAAAUCAAAGUUUACGGUAUAAAUUGGAAAAUAAGUUUUUUUUUCGCAUCAAGAUUUUACAUAAUAUUACAUUGUAUGUAUGUAUAUAGGAAAUCACACAAGGCAUGCAUGUGUAUAGAAGUAGAAUUAUACGAAGUGCAUCUAUUUGGUGAUAGUUAAACCAAACUGAUUAAAAAGUCUCCAAUUCAGGUUGCUCUGUGGGCAAGUUUCCUCUAGACCUAUAAAGUAUUAAUUUAAGAAAAAACAAGUAUACAAACACCCCCCUAAAGUUCGGAGCUUCCGUAAAUAAAGCCACCAAAUUUUCAUUUUGGCAACUAGAUCCUCUAAAUCUUGUCAAAUAGUUCUUUUCUCAAGCAAACUUGCUUGUUAAACACCCAUUCUCACCAAAAUGUCUAAAACACAUUAAAACCUAACAUUUCUAUUCUCAUACUUGAAAAAAAAUAAAAAUAAAAAAUAGGACUGGAGUAUUCUUCAAUUCUUAUACUUUACUUUUAUAUGUGAAAAGAGAGAAGAAGUUUAUUAUUAUUAUUAUUAUUUAGUGAAUUAAAGCUUUACAGGAUCAUUUUGUAAGACAUGUCACCAACACAGUUGUUUUUUUUUUUUUUGAGAGAUAGGUAGCACGCUACCCGCUUCGUUUAUUUUAUUUAGAAAUUAACUUAGCUAGAAAUGUGAAUCAACUAGGAUUCGAACUUAGGUCUCGGGUACCAACAACCAAGCCCUUUGCCACUUGCUGUAACAUAUUGAAACCCGGAAGAAAUUAUCGAACUUUAUCCAAAUUGGUUAAAGUUGUCGAGAGAAAUAGUUGGACAACUUCCAUUUAGCAUUCCAACUAGGUUGGAAGGGAUAAAAAUGAGUUUAAGAGGUGUUAGAAAGGUUUUAGCAUCGAUCGGCGCGAAAUAGAAUCGAAAACGGCGCAAAAUCAGCAUUCUGGGCAAAGUGUACCGAUAUAACCAGCGAGUUAUCACCGGUACAACCCUGCAACCCGAGAAGAGUAAGCUCUCGGGUUUGAAAAAAAUUGGAAGUGUACCGGUACACUUUGAAAGUGUACUGGUACAAAUCCCGCGUAACCGUGAGAGUUGCUCUCGGGUUUGGCCUCUGCGCAGAGUUGUACCGGUACAAAAUCCCGUGUACUGGUACACUUUGGUCUGGCAGCAAUAUUGAGGUCUGCUGUAAAUUAGACGUUUUGGGGGGGCUUAGUUGCAAAUGUUACAACAUGUAAUAUACCCUAACACCCCUCUCCUUCACAGCCAACACCCCAACUCUCUCUCUCUCUCAUUCCUCUCUUUCUCUCUCUAGAAAGCACACUCUAGAGCAAGGAGAAGGUGGAGAAGAAGUCUUGGAGUGGAAUUUUGGUGGCGUUGGAGGACCUUGGAGCUCUCCAACAAGAAGGAUCUUGGGAGGAGCUUAGUCUAAGGUAAGUUUUAGUGUAAAGCCCAUCUAGGGUUUGGUUUUAAACCCUAGGUUUUGGAGUUUUGAGCUUCUUAGAGGCUUUAUAAACCCUUUAGGGCCAUGAACACCAUGAAACCCAUGAGAGCUUCAUGUGCUCUAAUGGUGGUUAACUAGCGUUCAUAGUAGAUGCCCUAGGGAUGUUUGGAAAGGCUUGGAAAUGGUAUUAGAAUGCUUCCUAGUUGAUUCUAAGCUAGCUUUUGCUUAGAGAUGAGAUCAAUCUAGAAAAAAUUCCAUUAUGGCAUUGUUAGGGCAUGGAUUUUAGGGCUUUUGCCUUUGGUUGUUUCCGAGGUAAAUUGACCUCUUGGAAACCUAAUUAGGGGUACGUAUUUCCGACGCGUGGGACAACUCCGUUUGACGUUACGAAAAGUCUAAGUAAGAGAUCUUAUUUAUAGGGCCUAAUUCGGCACUAUUUUGGGUAUAGGUCACGGGAGAAGCGUCCUAAAAUCACGAGAGUUGAACUACAACCCUUCUAUAAUAUUCAAGGUGGGGGGGUGCACGCCGAAAUCAUCGGAUUUUCCUUUAUGUCUAUUUUCACCUUUGUUGAGCAUACUUGUAUAUAGAGUCAUUCAUGCAUAUUAGGGUAGUUCACAUGUGAAUGAUGGUUUAAUUUCAUUUAUAUGCUUCUAACGUAAUUGAACAUGAAAAAUGAUUUGAGCCAUAGCGGACAUGUAUGUUGAGACCCUUAACUUGUAUGAAUGUGAGACUUGGACCAAGAUAAUAGUAAAUAAAGGUGGCAUUAACAUUAGAGACGUGAUUGGCAUCGAGACAUGACUCGUUAAUUAAACAAGGUUUAACAAUUAGUGGCAUUGUGACAAGAAUGACAUCUAUUAUGACAACGGCAUUGUGACUAGUGGCUAUGUAUCCUCAAGUUAAGGAUUGGAUCGAUACUCACGAUGAGUUUUGGCUUGAGGGUGGUAGCUCCCCCUCAAGCGAUGCGUUCCGGAAUUGUCACCACGGGGAGCGCGGUCCCCAAAGACGGUCCCUCGGAUCUUGUAGUGCUUAGAGCCUCCCCGAAUGAAAGGAAUUUUGGGUUGUGAGUUAUUGGGGUUAACAAGGUUAACCGGUAAGAUUGGGUAAAAAGCCAAAGUAAAGUUAUCGAAAAGCAUGCAUGGAUAUUUAAUAUCGCUUUGAUUAUAUAUCCACUGACAGUUUUCUUGCAGACAUAGUAUUAGCAUUAGUAUGGUUACUACUUUCCUUUCCUUUGAAAUACUUAUGCCUGAAUAGACCUAGUGGGUAAGUCGGCGAGGUCGGUUGCCGAACCCACUGAAAACUUCGUUGUAGUUCUCACACCACUAACCUUACAGAUUCGAGCGCGAGUGGGGCGGUGGAGGAUCGAGGCAAGGGUAUCGCGCCAUAGCUAGUGGCCACCGGAGUUUAUGCAUUUAGUCAUUCCUUUUUGUACAUGUUUAACUUUCUUUUGUUGAAAAUAGAGAAUUGUAAAGUUGCAAACAUCAUGUAUUUUGGGAGAAUGGCUAAGUUGUAUAAAGAUUAUGGUUGAAUGGAAAAAGAUGUAAUAGCUUUUAGUAUACUUGUAUUUGGUUUAAAUUUAAUCAAAUAUCAUGUAUGGUUGUAUGUUUUAGUAUAGAGCUUUCGCUUCCGUUGUUGCUUGCCCUCGUGCAAGCCUUGUAUAAUUGCAAAACUCUUUGUUGAAUUGUUUUAUUAUACUUGUUGCUAGAGCCUUGGACGGACAAGGGAGGCUCCGUCCAUUCGGCAUCUGUUGACGUGGUCGAAUCCGACAAAAUUGGCGGGGAUCGGGGCGUGACAUAUAUAAUGGUAUCAGAGCGAAUGGUGAAAGCAAAAAGUCUGGGAUGGACUUAGGAACCUUAGGAUUAGAAACCUUAGGGACUUAGGAAACAUUUAACGUGAACUUGGAUUAUUGCGGAAGCUAAUUGAUUGGGUUGACAUUGGUACUUCUCUAAAAGGAAUUAGAGAUGGAUUCAAGUGGUUAUUUGUUUUCUACUUAAGGGGAUUGUGUUGGGCGGCCGACCACAUAAUGCCAAGUGUUGGAAAUAAUUACACUUGAUUGGUUUCGCUUAAUUGGGUAGUUGAUUGGAACAUGUGAGAGUCACGUGUGUUGAGUACUAAUAUGUGUGUUACAUUUCAUGAACAAAUGUCCUCGAGACGCUACAUGCGUAGAUCCGCUCCGGCAUUGCCUGAUGAGGUGCCCGAGAAAUCGGGAUCGGAUGAAGUGCGCGAGCUGCGGGCACAAUUAAGUAGCGGCUUUGGCCGGGGCUAUGCGGCAACAGGGGGAGCAAAUUGGACAGCUCCACGAGUUGGUGGCGCGACAGGUGGCGGCGGCGGCAUCUGUGUCGAGGGAUCCGCCCGCACCUGUUGCUCCUGUAGCACCACCUCCUGCGGUGGCAGUGGCACCGGUGACGGCUAUUCCUCCGACGGCAUUGGGUUCAUCGACUCCUAUUCCUGAUGUACUUGAGGCCGAGCAGGAGCAAUCGUCGGCGGCGCUGACGGCCUUCAAAUGAUUCAACCCUCCGACCUUCAACGGCGAUGUGAAGGAUCCAUGGUUGGUGGAGUCGUGGUUGGCCACGAUGGAAGCGUUAUUCGAGGACAUCUACACUCUCGAGAAGGAUAAAGUUCACCUUGCGGCUCACUGUUUCGAUGGGUCGGCUCGAUUGUGGUGGACUCAAGCGAAAAAGAAUCACUCAUUGGAACCCGCUUCCGUUACUUGGGAGGGAUUUCGGGAGAUGCUGCUAAUGGAAUAUUUUCCCGAGAGUGACAAGCGGAAAAUCAAGGAGGAUUUUCGAAAACUAAGGCAAGGGAGCCGAACGGUGCGGGAGUACGAGAGGGAGUUCACGCACCUAGUCAACUGCGUGCCGAGCUUGGUUCACGGCGAUAGGGACCGGGCGGAGGCUUUUGAGCGCGGGUUGCGACCCGAAAUAUUCAAGGUUAUUCAUGCGUUCCGCUUGAAGACCUACGAGGAGGUACUUGACUGCGCGCUUUAGGUGGAGCGCGGCAAUACUAUUGCGCGGGAGGAGCGCGAGGCAUUUGAGAAGGACAAGGGAAGGGAUAAGUCCAAGAAGCGAGCAUCUAGUGGAUCCGCCGGGCAGUCGAGUUCUAAGCGACCCCCUCGACCUCAGCGAUCACAGUGGCGGGGAGGCAGGAGUCAGACGCAAAGCCAGACUACCUACCCGUGCGUGAUAUGUGGCGGAGACCACCGGGUUACUAUUUGCCCUCAACGGGAGGGGCGGUGUUUUCGAUGCGGCCAGGCGGGCCACAUAGGCCGAGAGUGCCAGGGCGACGCAUCCCCAGCUCCGUCGUUAGCUUCAGUCCAGUAUACUCCGCGACAGCUGGCGGGACUGCCACCCACUGUAUCUGUUGGACGUUCUUCGGCGCCUCGUCAGCCGGAGGCUUCUCGAGCACCUAGUGGGCAGGCUUUUGCCACUCAAGUGGAGGAGCAGCCGAUUCCAGUCCCUGACGACGUGGUGGCAGGUAUUAUCCUUAUGAGAGGCACUAGAGUUAGAGCAUUGUUUGACACAGGUGCAUCGCAUUCAUGCAUAGUGGCAUCAUUUGCACAAGCUCAUAACAUAAAGGUCACGCAUAAUGAGGACUAUUGGUGGGUGAAUACACCGGAGCAUUCGUUUCGUGUUUAUGACGAGUGUUUGGAUUGUCCAGUACAGAUAGGUGAUUGGAUCAUGCUGAUCGACCUAUUGGUGUUAAAGCAGAUGUGGGGUUUCGCUGUAAUCUUGGGGAUCAAUUGGCUCUCCAAGUAUUACGCGGUCAUAGAUUGUGAAAGUAAGGUGAUCACAUUCCGUGAAUCUAAUCAAGAAGAAUUAGUAUAUCAGGCAUGUAAAAGUAGGCGCUUCGCAGCGACCAUAUCGGCGGUGAGGGCGAGGAAAAUGAUUAAGGUGGUUGUAAGGCCUAUUUGGCAACCAUCGUAGACACUCGAAAGGAGCACCCGGAUUUGGGUGAUAUUCGGGUGGCAUGCGAGUAUCCGGAUGUGUUUCCGACGGAGUUACCGGAAUUGCCACCGGACCGGGAAGUUGAGUUUGUCAUUGACUUAAUUUCCGGGGCGGCGCCAAUUUCGAAGGCUCCGUAUAGAAUGGCACCGGUGGAGCUAAAGAAGCUAAAGGCACAGUUGCAAGACUUGCUCGAUAAAGGAUUUGUGCGGCCGAGCGUGUCUCCGUGGGGAGCUCCGGUGCUAUUUGUAAAGAAAAAGGAUGGCACGCUUUGACUUUGCGUUGAUUAUCGCGAGUUAAACAAAGUGACGAUCAAGAACAAAUACCCGUUGCCGAGGAUUGACGAUUUGUUCGAUCAGUUGCAAGGAUCAAGGGUAUAUUCAAAAAUUAAUCUUCAAUCGGGGUAUCAUUAGUUGAAGAUACGGCCCAAGGAUGUGCACAAAACGGCGUACCGUACGCGGUAUGGCAACUAUGAGUUCACAGUCAUGCCAUUCGGGCUUACUAAUGCCCCGGCGGCCUUUAUGGACUUGAUGAAUUGAGUCUUCCGUCCGCUAUUGGACCGGUGCGUCGUGAUAUUCAUUGACGACGUAUUGAUAUAUUCUCGGACUGAGGAAGAACACGAGGAGUAUUUGAGGAUCGUGUUGGAGACACUCCGAAAAAAGAAGCUAUAUGCAAAAUUAAAGAAAUAUGAAUUUUGGCUUUCGGAGGUUACUUUCUUGGGUCACGUUAUAUCCGGUGAUGGCAUCUCGGUAGAUCCAAAGAAAGUUGAGGCUAUUAAAGAUUAGCCUCGCCCGACAAGUGUAACGGAAAUUCGUAACUUCCUUGGACUUGCGGGCUACUACCGGCGGUUCGUGGAGGGGUUUGUUAAGAUAACUACUCCACUAACGUACCUUACACACAAAAAGGUGAAGUACAUUUGGAGCGCCGAAUGUGAGCUGAGCUUCGAUGAGUUAAAGAAAAGAUUGACAUCGACCCCGGUGCUUACUUUGCCGACGCCGGGGAAGAGCUAUGUUGUGUACAGUGAUGCUUCGUAUAUCGGUCUCGGGUGUGUUUUGAUGCAAAAUGACCGAGUUAUAGUUUAUACUUCGCGCCAAUUAAAGAGCUAUGAGAAGAACCUCCCGACUCACGACCUCAAGCUAGCGGCGGUUAUUUUCGAGCUAAAAUUAUGGAGGCAUUACUUGUAUGGUGAGCAUUGUGAAAUCUACACCGAUCAUAAGAGUCUCAAAUACUUGUUCGCGGACAGCGACAGUGGUUGGAUUUGCUAAAAAUUAUGACGUCACGAUUCUCUACCACCCCGGAAAAGUAAAUGUGGUGGCCGAUGCUCUAAGUAGAAAGUCGGCGAAAAAUUUGGCGACGGCAAUUACACCCCAACCGGCUUUGCAAAAGGAGAUGCAAUGGUUUGGACUUGAAAUUGUGGCGCUGGGAGUGCCGGCAACACUUGCCACGUUGAUUGUACAACCGACCUUGUUAGAGAGGAUUAAAGAACUCCAAGUUUUCGAUUCAUUUCUCCAAAAGGUGCGGGGUAAAGUUGAGAGCGGUUGUAAUAUACCGAACUUCUAAUUCAUGAAGUUACGAUGUAUGUUAGCUUAGAAAGCCGUUGGAAUCAUUCUGGCGAAGUUCGGGAGCAUUCGGUUGCUUCGGUGAGCAUAGGGCGCGAAAACGGGACCCGAAAGGCUAUGUUGGACCAUGGACUAAAUCCAGCAUUAGCGUGGAUGAAAAGAUGAUGAAAAUACGCUCAAAAACAUGUUUGGAGAGUCUCGGUUCAAUUUGAAACGAAUCGGAUGUCCAACGAGUGAAAACGAGCGAAAACGGAGUGAAAACGGUGAAAAAGCUAAAAAUUUGGCUAAGUCCUAAAUGCUGGAAUUCUGAACCCUACGGGGACCGGUCCCUCAAGUCCAAGGACCGGUCCCUGAGCCCGAAAAUGGCCCAGUUUGGGCUGUGUGUGACUUAUAUUGUUGAGGGACCUUUGUGCAAUUGUGCAAGGUGUAUAGAGAGUGUUGGAGGCUUAUUUCCUCUCCCUCUCCCUUACGUUGCAACCCAAAACUAUCCCUCUCUCUUUCUAAACGAAAUAGAAGAAAGGGAAGAAGAGGAAGAAGAGAAGGAAGAGAAGGAGAAGAAGGAAAAGAAGAUCAAGAGAAGCUCCAUCACCUUCUUUAUCUUCUUCUUCCUUUGCUUGGAGCUAACACAUAGAGGUAAGCUCUUUGCCCUUUAAUGGUAGAUCUUCAUGGCUAUGGUUAUAUGCUCUAAGAAUGGAUUUAGUGGAACCCAUUGAUGCUAAAUAGAUGGUUUAUGCUUGAUUCAUGAGAUGAAUUGGAGUAUUUUGCUAUAAUUGCAUCUAGGGCUCCAAAAAUGGAGUUUUUGUAAAUGUUUGUGUUUGAUCUAAAUUGACCCUAUACAAACCUAAUUGGGGUUAUAACGAACGCGUUGGUGCACUCGUUUCGACAAUCCGACUAGUGUACGCGAAGUUAUUGACGAAAUAGUCUGUUUUGGUACAGAUAGCCGCAGCACGCGGGAUAAGCCUCCAAAAAUUAUGAAAAUGGAUCGGGAGCAUCGUGGUGUCGGGGAAUAAACUCCCGAACAGACGGAUCGCGAAUUGGUGGCUGUUCGGGUGGUCGCACAAGAGUUCGGGCCAAAUCGGGUCACGGGUGCCGCGGGAGGCCGAUUGCAAGUGACGACAAGCAAACGGAACGCGUUAAGAGGUGGGUUGUGCUUACCGAAGCGACUAGGUCGCCUUCAUGCCAAAGUAUAGUGUAUUUCACUACUGAUGCAUGGUGAUAGUAAAAAUGCUAAGUAACAAUGCAUGAUAAAAAUGCUAAGUAAGAAUGCUAAAUGUGAGUGUAUGUGAUAGAUGUUCAGUAAUGCAUGUGAUAUGUGCCAAGUAAUGAUCAUAUAAGAUGUAUGCUAAGGAAUGCAUGUUGUCAUAAUAUGAAAUGCCAAAGGAAUGCAUAUUGACAUAAUGUAAGAACAUUAAGUUAAUGCUUGUGACAUGUUGUAGAAAUGUUAGAUGAAGUAUGAGUUAAAUGUUAAAGGCAUGUAUGAGAUGUAUGUUAAAUAAACAUAUGAACUAGACGAAUGAGCUAGAUUAUGCAUAAUGACAAUAUAAGAAUGCUAAGAAAAUGCAUUGAAUGAUGUUAGCUAAAGGCAUGAAAUAAGUGGCAUUGCAUGUUAACGUAAAGUAGAAAACAUGCUAGUGACAAUGCAUAAUGAUAAGAUAAGAAUGUUAAGUAAAGAAUAUGUGUAAGUGGACAUAAAUGCACCUAUAGAUCGAGUGGCAUUGAACCUAGUGUCAAGGACAUAGGUUAAACAAGAGUAAUAAUGAACCUAGUGUCAUUGAACAUAGGUUAUUCACGAGUGGCAUGUCAAGUAUGAUUCCUAGGUGUGGACAACUAGGAAAACAAGAACAUGAGUGGCAUUGAACCUAGAGUCAAAUGAACCUAGGUGAUUAAGAAUAUUGAACCUAGAGUUAAUGAACCUAGGCUAAGAAGAUAAUGACAUUGAACCUAAUGUAUUAACUUAGGUUGAGUAAAGGCUUGGACCUAGAUAGGUCGAUAACAUAGGGUGAGACCAACCCUUGAGUAAUGUAAAGUGGAUUCCGGAAUCCCUGCUGCUAGUGCAGCGGCUGCUAGUGCAGCAUACAAGCUCGAUAGUUCUUGGCCGCGGGUGCAUGUGGCGUGUUCCUCUCCCACCGGAAGAACUUCGAGGCUUGUUAAUGAGCAAGAACAAUGAGCGCUAGGGUGCAUGUGGCAUGUUCCUCUCCCUAUCGGGGAUCUCGGCUGCGGGUGUAUGCGGCAUGUUCCUCUCCCACCGGGGGAUCCCUGACCACGGGUGUACGCAGCUCUGGGCGACCCGUUGGGCGAUGUGGUUUGUGAUUGAAGGCUGAGGUGCAUGUGAGAGUUCCUUCACCUCGAGCCGGACAGAGCGCGAACUAUCCGCAG